CCCCAAUUUUUUUUUUUUUUUUUUUUUUUUUUUUUUUGGUUAGGUAGUGAAAGUCAUCUAUUCAGACUGUUCAGUGUGAAUAUAGGUAAACUAUAGGUUACCUAUAGAAAGAGUUGAAGAAAAUUAAUUAGUUCUAUUUUCAGCUAAUUGAAUAAUUAAUUUUUUUGGAAUUAUUUGUUGGUAUUCUUGUUGGUAGUUACUAUUACUUAUCAUCUUUUUAUUAUUGUUAUAUUAGGUUUGAAGAAAAUGACUUGUAUUAAUAGAGAGGUUAUUAAUGGAUAAAGGAUUUAGGUCCAUUAGUUUUUAUUAAAAUUAACAUGUCUGAAUCUAAAAUAAGAUGUGUAUUAAGAUAAAGUCGUUUGAAAUAUAACGAUAACAUCUUAGUUAUGCCUAGAGGUUCAUUUUUUAUGGAGGCAAUCAAUACAACAAUAACAUACUCAAUAUAUUCUUACAAGUGGAGUGCGGGAAGAAUGAGAUGUAUGUUGAUUUUAUUCCUACUUUUGUAAGGUGGAGAAAUUGUUUUCGAUAGAUACAUAUUUCUCUAAUAUGAGUAAUAUGUAACAUAGUGAUUGUGGUCAAUCCAUAUAUAUAAUUUUAUUUUUUCUUAAAAUGAUGGUCAAAAUAAUGUCAAUUUUUAUGAUGAUAGAACUCAUACAGGAUCUCCAAAAGGCAAUGAUCUCCCUUGGCUUCUAAGUGAAGGGUGGUCAUGAAUGAUCUGAUAUAAUUGUUUUCACAUUUUAUAUAUUGACAAGGACUUAAUUAUAUAUUCACGGGUGAGGAUUGCUGAAAACUAUAUAAAAAGAUCAAAUAUUGUUCUCAUAACUGAUGUCGAACUUCUAACGUCCUCUGGCACAAGCAAAAUUGGGUAUAUGGAGCAGGGAUAUAACAUAAGGAUUCAACAUCGGGUAAAUCAAGAAUUAGAAUGAAUCUGACUCUAAUACCAUUUUAAGACCUAACUCAAAUCCAAAAGUUACCAAGUAUAUUUCUACUGCAAAUAUCAGUGCAUAAAGUAAACCGAAUUCGUGCUGAAAUAUCCCACUUUGAAGAUAAAAUACUCUCCAUCAAAGGCAACUCUAUUCCGAUGCUCAAACCCAAGACAUCUAGUAAUAGACGGAGGGAUACCUACGACUCCACCACAAUGGUAACUCUAUUAUCAAAAUGAAAGUAUAUAGUGUAAAGAAAUUAGGUAAAUCCAGUACCAACUGUGACUUGUUUAAAGGGCUGAGGAGUUGGAGUGUGAUUUGAGAUUUUAGGUAAUACUUCAACUUCAUUUUUAGUUUACACUUGUUUGAUACCAACUCCCCACCUACCCUAAUAUUUACAUGGAGUAGGUGAUUCCCAUUGACAUAACAAGAUUUAGGAUCUCAAAUAUAAUUUGCCAAAAAAAAUUUUUACAUGAUUAUUUCAGUUUCACUACUUAUUACUUUAUCCUAAUUGCUUCCAAAAAAAAACAAUCUUUUGAAGAGCUUUUUCUAUCACAAACUCAUGGUUGUAAAUGUUUGUCACUCCCUGGAAUACUCUGAGAUUUAGAGUUGAUGUUGUCUUGACAUCCAUACAAGAAACUAAUGACUUUGAAUCGCCAUUGUUCUGAAGGCCUAACGAGUUCCUUCUUUCUCAAAGGCCGUCAUGUAAAGCUUUCCUCAUAACAAUGACUCGCUUGUUUAGUACUGCUAACUAUCAUAGAAAGAUGUCACCCUGACAUUAUCAGUAGCUUUGAUUGUUGAAUGUCGUGCAAGUUAGGUUGUGGUUGUAUUGACUGCAAGCAGACAUAGGCACUUUACGGGUGUAACUAUAAAGGGUUCAAGUGACAAACAUAAAAACAAGAAUUGUCGUAUUCGCCUAUAGUAUUUCGCGAAAAAUGGUGAAACCCCUCGUGUCUAAAAAACAACUAGUGGGCACAAUGUAGUUAAGAUCCAAAUCCUGUUCAUGGUGGAAGCACCAACAGCCUAAAAAGAAUGCUGUUAACUAGAACUCAAUGACACUGGAAAAGAAAAAAAGGAACUAGUACAAAAUGACAGCCUAUUCAAGGAAAUUACAAACAACUGAAGUGAGGUCCAUGAGAAAGCGCUAAGUUGUAAGAUGUCCAGUUUUAGUCUUUCUAGAGAGGAGCAUGAGGAUCUGAUUUUCUUGAAGCAUCUUGAAAGAGCCAAUUGUCGAUCCACGUCGAAAAUUGAUUCAUCAUAUCAUUUGAGUAGUUAACAUGUUAUUGCUCAAAAAUUGACAGGAGAAUAUGAGCUCCUGUGACCAUGAGAAGGUCCUCUAAAUCUCCGCACCAAUGAUGUAAACGAACUCUGCAAAAGGAGAACAUAAAUGUGAUGAUAAGUUCUGGUUCAAUCAGCCACGAACACAUCCUCCAAUGAAAAAGAUUAUGUGCACACCAAAAAGAAGGCUAUUCUCAAUCUUUUCUUUUUUUCUUAGAUGUUUAAGGCAAGGCAGAGAUCUAUGGCAUAGUGUUUCAGCAGGUCCAUGAAUCCACAAUUCAACUAAGACACACACCUCUUUGAGAAGAUAAACAGGGAUUGGAGAAAGAAAGCACAAGAAUGGCUUGCUUGUAUAUCUGGUGUUAAUAUAAUGUAACUCGCAAAGUUUGAACUACGGGUUGCCUCCAAUUACGUAGAAGCUUCAUUUUUUAUACCAUUGGGUGAUUGCAUGGAAAUUAGCAGUCAGGAAUGAAGAAAACAGAAUAAUAAACACAAAUCCAAGAGUUGUCCGUUCACAGCACAGAGAACUCACUGCUAGAGUCAACAACCAUCCAAUUAAUGCAACCAUGAUCCUUAGAACUCGGACACGCUAGGUGCUACAAUUAUUCAUGGAAAACACUCAUAUUGGUGUUCUUUCGAUAUACCACUUUUGUGGCAACACUGCUAGGUGCUAUAAAAAAAAUAAAAAAAGAAACACAAUGUUAAUGCUCCUAGCCUACCCCGAAUCUCUCCUGGAAAGAGGUUCAUUACUAGAAAUGUUUGGACAAGCAAGACUCAAUUCUGUCAAAGUGUAUCGCCCUAAAUCGCAGCCAAUAAGAAAUUUUCACCAGAUCAACUAUUUAACUUUAUUACAAGACCUCAGCAUUAUUCAAUACCUGUAAUGUAUGUGGCAAGCUCGCCCAAAACUCCAAGUUUGGAAUUAUCUGCAUAAGUCAGAGAAGAAAGAGGUCAGAUUGUAGCAUUGCACAAAUUCAAUGUCAAAGACAGUCCAACACAAGCAAAGUCAGCAUGAGUUUUAUAUAACAAUACUGCACUCGAUGGGGAAAAAAAGGUGUGUAUUGUCAGGAAUAAUACUCAAGCCAACAAAGCAUCUUCGAACAUUGGAUCAAACUUACACCAUGGUUACUUCACUGACACCUGAGGUAGCUAAAAUUUUCCAAACAAACCAAUUUUAUUUCCUGAGUAAAAUGUUAAACAGUUUACAUUAAGAGAAUUAAUAUUUUCCACUUUGCCCGAAAUUCAUUAACUUGGGAUCAAACUUAUUAACUUGAUCAGACUGAUUAUGAUCUAGUUCAAGGCCUCUUAUAAGUAAAAGGCGCUCUGGUGGGAUCUUCAUGGUCAGAAAGUCUUUUACAGGCAGUUUAAUAGUGAACAAGUGGCAUUGCUCCUUUGGCCUGAAUCGAGGAAUCCCUUAGAUGAGAUGCUAUUAUUUAAAAGAUUCUUUCUCAAUCCCUGAAUAAUUUGGAGAGAGACAAGAGAAAGAUAGGAAAAGAAACUUCAACAAUCCUGUAAGAUUUGUAACUGUCACCAGUGACGUGCACUUGGUGCAGUAAACUACAGCUCGAGUAAAACUGCAAGCUUACACACAAAGAAUGACAAAAACCUACCACUCUCUCUUCUAGCAACAAAUCAUCUUAUGACUCCUUAGUAUGGUGAACUUUCUCUAUGCAGAUAUAGAAUGGAAUACUGAAUGCAUUUUUCGCAUUUUUCUAACUGGUAUAAAUUAAGAAGCAACAAAUCCAAAUCAUUGACAUCCCAAUUUGAUUAAUUUGCCUCCAACACAAAUUUAAGGUCAACUGAUCAAAGCUCUGCAACAUAUUUUCAUCUCAAAGUUCAUAAUUAUCCUCCUUGAUGUCACCAUUAUUCCCUAUCAACCACCACCAUGCAUCACUAUCUAUAACUGCAAUAUUUCAAUAUCUUCACCACCCCGAGGACCAAAUCUGUAACUAUAUUAUUAAGUCCUGUCUUGCUAAUAAAAAAAGAUGUCUUAUUCAUAAAAGACUCUUACUGUAAAAUCAAUGGAACCCACUAUUCAGUAUUCUCAUCCUUUUGCUUUGUCUCUCAACAGAGUUGUUUUAAGUUUAUAUAUAGCAGCUAACUCCCCCCCCCCCCCCCCCCCCCCCCNNNNNNNNNNNNNNNNNNNNNNNNNNNNNNNNNNNNNNNNNNNNNNNNNNNNNNNNNNNNNNNNNNNNNNNNNNNNNNNNNNNNNNNNNNNNNNNNNNNNNNNNNNNNNNNNNNNNNNNNNNNNNNNNNNNNNNNNNNNNNNNNNNNNNNNNNNNNNNNNNNNNNNNNNNNNNNNNNNNNNNNNNNNNNNNNNNNNNNNNNNNNNNNNNNNNNNNNNNNNNNNNNNNNNNNNNNNNNNNNNNNNNNNNNNNNNNNNNNNNNNNNNNNNNNNNNNNNNNNNNNNNNNNNNNNNNNNNNNNNNNNNNNNNNNNNNNNNNNNNNNNNNNNNNNNNNNNNNNNNNNNNNNNNNNNNNNNNNNNNNNNNNNNNNNNNNNNNNNNNNNNNNNNNNNNNNNNNNNNNNNNNNNNNNNNNNNNNNNNNNNNNNNNNNNNNNNNNNNNNNNNNNNNNNNNNNNNNNNNNNNNNNNNNNNNNNNNNNNNNNNNNNNNNNNNNNNNNNNNNNNNNNNNNNNNNNNNNNNNNNNNNNNNNNNNNNNNNNNNNNNNNNNNNNNNNNNNNNNNNNNNNNNNNNNNNNNNNNNNNNNNNNNNNNNNNNNNNNNNNNNNNNNNNNNNNNNNNNNNNNNNNNNNNNNNNNNNNNNNNNNNNNNNNNNNNNNNNNNNNNNNNNNNNNNNNNNNNNNNNNNNNNNNNNNNNNNNNNNNNNNNNNNNNNNNNNNNNNNNNNNNNNNNNNNNNNNNNNNNNNNNNNNNNNNNNNNNNNNNNNNNNNNNNNNNNNNNNNNNNNNNNNNNNNNNNNNNNACCACCACCACACACACACCACAAAGGCCAAAAACAUCACCUGUAGUCAGAAUUUGACAUUUAAAAAUUAGAAGACAAAUAUACAUCCUAAUACACAAUUUUUUUCCUUCCUCGCAUAACCACCUUGCUAUGAGAUUGUUACAUCUCAUAUUUUUCUUAGGUAAAAAGGUUUGACUCUAUUACAUGUUUUAGGCUUUUAGCUGCCUACUUUGUGUAUCACAUAUGUGUAUUUAUCUGGUGCCGACUUAGUUAUCUUGAGACAAUCACUUACAGUAGAGAGUAGAAUUAUUUUGAUAACCGAGAAAUCCGUCUGUGACCCGCCGCCCUUUGGACCAAUCAUAGCCUUCUAAACUCGGUGGAUAAUGGGCCCGCCCCUCUACCCUUCUCCACUUAAAUACAGGGUUUCACUUUGCAUGGUGUGGGACUUGAACCUGCGACCUAAGUCACAAAUCCUCCACCUUUUGCCACUCGAGCUAGGCCUUGGGGGCCCAGUAGAGAGUAGAAUUAUGCUUUUGUAGCAAAAGGAAAAAAGGAGGAUAGGGCAGCAAGAGGCCAGUCAAACAGAGAUAUUGUGGCCAAAGAAGUCUGGAUAGGAACUCUCAUGCAACUAUUCUGAUAACAGAAAAUGAAGACAUAAGACAGACAGAAGAGAGUAAGAGAAGUAACAUACAUCUAUCCCACGAAUGCCCAAAGAGUAGUACCGAUAGACUGCACCACCCACCAAGUAAACUCCAAAGAAGAAUAGGAUUCUGUCCAGUGUUUAUCAACCAAUCAAUCAAUCAGUGAGAAGGAAACUCAAUUACCUAGUCUAUGCUUUUAACCAUUAAACCUUACAGUAUCAACAUGGUACCAAACCAGCCCAUUCCGUUCCUGUGAGAGGAUAUAAUCAAUGCACAGCCGGAGGGGUGAUGUAUUUUCGUAGCCUGCCAACAAAAAAUAAAGCAUGAACUCCACAUCGAUACUAUCCAUAAGAACAAGGUUCUUGACAAAGUUAAGAGGAUGAGAUAUAAAGAGGAGAUUGAAGAAUGCACCAGAUUGUCUGUUUCAUAUGUAUGCGAAACUAGGAAGAAAUCUGAGCAUGCAAUGCAUAUUGCAACAAGGUCUGCUGAGUUGGACACUUCAGACCAAACAAGCAACCACUAACUUGGUGCCUAGGACUAAUAUUCAAUCUGCUCCCAGAAAAUUAUGCUGCUAUGAUCAAUGUCUUGCCGAGGGGUUCUUUCUUUUCACCUAGCAUGUCACUAGAAACUAUUAUCCCCACAUCAACUCAAUGUCAUGUCAAGGUUCCCAUCAACUAUGCUGCUUGAACUCUUCAAAAAUGUCAACAGUGGUGUUGGAUCCUUCAAAAGUAGUGCAUUUUCAAAGAAUCCAACACGGGUGCGGCAUCAUUUUUGGAGGAGCAACAUAGCCAAUUAAAGUGCCUCCCAUCUCCAAGACUACUUGCACCACUAAUCACAUUUACAAUUUUGAUUUGCUGAUCCAUUUUAUACCAUGCUAGACUAUAAGAAAUCAUCAUAAUGUGGCUGUCCAUACCAAGGCCUGUUACCUUAUUGCCAGUUGAAAGGAAAAACACAUUUUUAUUUAUUUUAUUAACCAAGAUCCUUUUCUUAAUAUAAUGACAUCAAAUACUCCUAUGAGUGACACAAAGUACUGCACAUGAGAUUGAAACAUAGACAUUUAGAGUACUUACGUAAUCACAAGUCCCAACUAAUUCAAGUGUCUGCGGACCCUGACAAAGGAAUGGAAAAGAAAAUCAUAUGCCGAAUUCCAAUGAAAUGUCACUGGAGAAAAGUACAGCCGAUAUACAAAGGAAAACAAGCCCUUACUUGAACUCCAUUUGUAUCACAUACAACAGACACAGCAAGUGAACAGUUGGACUUUGAACCUCUGUUAGACAGUUUAGCUGUGAUGCCUUUGAGCGGAUCCGUUUUGUCUGCCAUAUUAAUAAACGCAAGAAAAGGCAUUAACAUUUCCAAUUUAAUCUAGUAAAGUUGUCUCCGCAGGUGAUUGCAGAUUAUAUCUGCAUGAAAAAAUGCUACAAUUCGUAAUUACUAAUUGUGUACCUAAAAACAAGAAGAAGAACAAGCAAUUGAUAAUAACUUCUCUCCUUUAAUCUGAACUAAAUAAUUGACGGAUUCUUACCAAUGAGUUCAAAGGAUGUGCUUGAUGAAUAUCCAAGAGUAGUGCACACAGGAUAACCUGCACUAACCAUACUAAAACCAUUAAAGGAAAUAGAACAAAGAAUCAACUUGUGUAAAGUUAGCUAGAUUUUCCGAAGAGUCGAUGUAUGUGCUCAUGAUAUACUUGUAAAUACCGCACCAUCUCGGCAUAGCAUAAAUGGAUUCCUUUGUUUUAUCACAAAAGGAAAAGGGAAUACAUAUCAUCUGUUUGUCUGUUGUAUAUACGAUUUAUAUGUUCAACUUAAACAUGAUAUUCUGAAGGUAAUACCUCUUUAUUCUUCUUUAGAUUCCCUUUGAAGAGAAAUGGUGACGUACCAAGAGUACAUGCAUAAACUAAACAGAGGAUGAAUAAAAUCCCAAAUGUUCAUUCUAUUUAGCUGUGUCACUACUUUGGCCAAUCAAUAUAGUAAAACUUUACUAGGCAAGUGAAAAUAGUUGACUUGGAGAAGAAGAGAAUGUAUACAGCUAGGAUCACUAAGGGCAUCAAGAAGAUGCAAAAAGAUAAUUAGAUAAAAAAAGAGAUAGAGUCAGCUCUAUACAAAAGAUUAAGCUUAAUACUAAGGAGCUGAAAAAAAAAAAAAUAACUGUUCAGUGUUUGUUAUAGGGGUCAGAUUGCACCAGCUAAACAGAGAAAGUAAGCAUUUAACCUUCAGGAAGUGAUUAUGACUUGAGACUAUCAAAACAUCUAGGGUUUCUUUCUGUAAACACCAAAAAGUACAAGCAGGUAUCAUUGACCAGAUUUUCUUGAUGAUUUAUCAAUGUUCCAGGAACUCCAUCCUUCAUAGUUGUUCUGUCCACUUGCAAUGCAAAAAAAGAUGGUUGAUUGUCUCAGUUUGUUCCCCACAUAGAAAACACCUUGCGACUAAUUGAUGACCCCUUUUACUUAGGUUUUCCUGUGUCAAGACUGCCUCUUUAGCCAAAAACCAUAUCAUGUGUUCCGAUCUUGUUGCAUGUGUAUUGGAUACUAGAACUUCAAACUAAUUUCGCAAGCACAACUGCUUUCUUUAAGCCUUUUACAGACUCAACUCUCAACAAUAAUUGAGUAAUUGACCAUUCACUCAUGCUUUCAUGAGAACAAGCAACUGGAAAUCCAUUGUUGUUUAUCUGAUAUUUUAUUUCCUGGGAGUUCAUCAAUCAAAGCAAACUAACUUUUUAUUAGGCAAGGGACUCUAUCAAUCGUUCAGAAAGCACUUCCAGAACCAAUGCUCAUAAAGUCCUUUGAAUUGAAAAAACUCCUAGGAAAAACAUCUUACUCGAUCAUUUGCAUGACACGGUGACAAUUUUUUGUGUGUGUUUUAUUCUUUUGUGCAACAUGGGACCUGAAGAGAUAUGUCAUGUGGCUAGAUUGUUGGUCACAAUUCACAGCAUCAGUUUCGUCAAAGGACUUAUUUUUUCUUUUCUUUUUAAUAAUCAUAGUGUCCCCGUCAGCUUAUGCACCUCAACUAAUUCCAUGGAUACCUGACACCUCCCAGGCUCCCACCAGCAGAAGUACCAAGUCUUGGUUCCCUAUCAUAUAUUUUCUCCAGGUCAAUGAACACAAUGUGUAAAUCUUUUUUACACUCGCAAUAAAUCACCAUCAAUCUUAAUAUAACCUCCAUUGUAGAGCUAUGGGCAUAAAUCCAAACUGAUCCUCUGUAGCUCUUGUAUUGUCCCUAAGUAUAUGCUCUAUCACUCUUUCCCAGAGUUCCAUCGUACAACUCAUAAGUUUAAUACCACGAUAGUUCACACUACUUUUGAAUAUCUUCUAUGUUCUUAUAAAUUGGAAUCUCACUAUCCCAGUACUCUUUCUCCACUUGACAGGCAUCCUACCACUUCUUAAUAUAGCAUUUAAUAACUUGACAAGCUAUCCCAAUCCAAUCUCCAAGGCACUUACAAACCUCUAUUGGGAUACCAUCUGGACCACAUGAUUUUCUAUCCUCAUAUAUUCCAUGAUAUAAUUUACCUAUUCCGACCUAAUUAUAUGAGUGCAGCUAAAGUUUCUAUAGCGGGCGUCCUAAGAUGCUGGAAAAAGGAUGGCAUGGUAAGUACGAAGGAGGAGAGAUGGAAGAUUGUCCCAGCUUGUAUUUGGUGGUCAGUUUGAGAGGAACAAGAGGUGUUUUGAAGGAGUAAAAAGCAGCUUACAGAUUCUUAAGAUGUUGCUUAGGCCUAUUUUAUUUUUGGUGUGAGCAAAAACUAUUAGCUCAACAGAAGACGUUUUUGAUGUUUUAGACUUUUUGUAAGGAUAACUUGAACCACAAGAUGUAAGUUGUAAUACUUUUGUUGGGGAACUAUACCUGUUGGUGUAGUAUACCUGUAGAUAUAUAGAAGUAGUGUUACCUUUCUCAAAAGAAAAAGUUCCUAUAGUGUACAAACGUAUGGAGAUCCAUAAUGUGCAUAUAUCUUCCCCUCUUCUUUUCCUCAGAACUUAUGAAUUGCCUUUGCAAUCAAACGUUCAACUGUAACAACUAGCAACAGACACAACCCCAUGGUGUAGGAGUCUGGAAAGCAAUCAGAUCCCUCUGGUCUUUGAUGGCUGGAAAAAUUAGUUUAAGAGUGGGCAAAUGGUAGGAAAAUUAUUUUUUGAUGUGAUACUUGGCUUGGGCAUGGACCUCUAAAGGAACUCCUUCCUGAAUUCUUUAGCAUUGCCACUAUGCCAGUCAUUAGUCUGGAUUCAGCAAUACACAGAUGGAAUAUUACUUUUAGAAGGCUACUGCAUGAUUGGGAGUUGGAACGAGUUGUUGAAUUUUUCAAGACCUUGGAAUCAUUCCAAGGGAUCAAAGAUACUGAAGAUUCACUUAUAUGGAAGCCCACUAGUAAAGGAACUUAUUCAGAAAACUUAACUUAUAACAUCCUGCUUAGGCACAGACAAUCAACUAAUCAGUGGCCAUGGAGAUCCAUUUGGAAGAUGAAGGCUCCUUUUAAGGUGGUAUGCUUUUCUUGGCUAAUAGCAAGAAAUGCUUGCCUCACACAGGAAACUUCAAAGAAGGGGAUUCCAACAGUGUUCUAGAUGCUUUUUGUGCGGAGCUGCUGGGGAAAAUAAAAGUCACCUAUUCAAUCAUUGUCCUGUUACUGGACAAUUAUGGCAACUAUUGUUGAACAUGGUAGAAAUCAGAUGGUCAAUGCCAGUAACAAAUGUUGAUUCACUGAAAUGUUGGAACCAGAAUGAUGGGGAAAUUAGUAAGAAAAAUUGGUGGAAACUUGUCCCUGCUUGCAUAUGAUGUACCAUUUGGAAGGAGAGGAACUAUAGAGCUUUUGAAGACAAAUAUAAUUUUGUGGAGAAAAUCAAGCCGAAUUGUAUAUUUUUGUUUUCUUUUGGUGUAAAGAAAGCUAAUGCUGAGUAGGCUGAAUCACUAGUUGAUAUGAUAGGAUCCUUGUGAAGCAGUGGCCUAAGCUUGGUUGGGAUUUUGUGAAGUCUUUUUGCACUGUUAUGGUGUAACUUUAAUAUAAUAUAUAUAUAUAGUCGUAACCAGUUUCAAAAAAAAAAAAAAAAACAGACACAACCCCACAAUAGCUUUUAGUUCCUAAAAUAGUUGGCACGACAUAGACAUAUGGACGACAAUUUCUCACAUACUUUUUUAUACAUGCUCAUCUUGCUUAAUCCAUUGGAUAUGGAGUACAUAAAAUCUUAAAAGGAUAAGCUUUCCUUUUUUCUCCUUUCUUUAGUGGUAUUCUCCUUGUCAUGUCCAAGUAUUGAAACCAUUUAAGUCAUAAUGAUUUAAACAUCUCUUGACCCACCAGUCCUCCGCCAUAACUUGAAAGGACACUUUCAGAAAGUGAGAAAAAAAUAAAGACAAGACAUGUAACGAUUUAAAUGUAAUAAAGGGAAAAAGAAAUCCCAGAUACCCAUAACUUCAGUAGUAUUACCUCCAAUAAUGUUAGCCACGAGGGCACUACAACCCAUACCACAGCGAGAAAUACCACCGCAGUCCUGCAAAUGUAAGCAUGUUCAAGUUAGAGUUGUCUACAUGGUGAGUAAAGAAAACUAACAUUUCUGAAAAUCGUUAUCAUAGUCAAGAAGUUUAAAUUUCACAUCUAAAAGACAGAAUAUUCCUAUACAUGGCUGAUGGGCCAAACAAGUCCAAGCUGCAUGUGAUAAAUAAAAUCACUUGAAGAUGCUUUACCAAAUAUAAUAAAUAAGCAAACUUCAUUUAUGUACAUCUUGGUUACUUUCUAAUGUUCAAUAUGUUUGAGCAGAACAUAAAUUUAUCUUAGCAGAGUUGAUAGUCUUCUAAACUUCACCCCCCAGAUACCCACAAAUGAUGUUAUAUAUUUCCAGUGGCAAAUCAAAGAUAUCAAAUAGUCAAUAUUCAAUCUUUGAUAUUAAGAUAAACAGAAGAAUCACUAAUUCUCAAAAAACAAAUCAAUGAACAUAUAAGGUAUUAUGCUUAGCAAAACUCUAAUAAUCGGUAGAAUUUUUCAAAAGAGAAUAACGGAAUCUAUAUAAUUUGUGUUUUUUUUAAUAACCGUAGCGUCCGGUUCAACUUGUUUGCAACUCGAUAAUUCCACGAGAUACCUGGCAGCUCCCACCAGCAACAACUAUUGUACACCAAGGUUGGAGCAGGUACCAGAGUCUAUAACUUGUUUCAUAGUCAUUGAGAGAUUUCUGAGGGCCAACACGGUCCUCCUGGCCUCUCUCCUAGUAUGUUAAUAUAUUGUUUAUUCUGCAGCAUUUCCUGAUUUGUAGAACUAGGGUAGUUUAAUCUGCAGCCCCACAUUAGUUGUGUAUUUGGCAGCUACUAGAGUACUAUUGUUAUAAGAAGGUUAGCUAAUUUUCUGUUGCACACGAUAAUUUACAUUUCAUAGGGUUAACUAUAGAACAACUUUGUCUCCUCUAGCAAUGAUAAUUGGCAAAGAAACACAGAUGUAGUUUGGCAAGCACUUACCCCACACUCAACACAGGUAGGAGGAUCAUGGUUGAAAAUCAUUGCAUCACAAAGCUGCUCCAUAAGCAGAGAGGAAACAAAGUGAGAUUCAGUAAAGUAUUAGCAGUUGCCAAGUUUAACCAGUAAUAAAAUCCAAAAAACUUUUUUUUCCUCAUCACAAGAUGUAACUGCCACUUGUAUUAACCAUACAUAUAACAGUUCAACUACAUUAUGCUUCCUAAGUGAACACAAUGAAACCUAUAAUGGCUCAUUCACAGAUUUAGUCACUUAACAAUAGCUACACGUCAUACUUCUUGUCCAUAGACCUCAGACAUUUGGGAGCUAAUAAAAUACCUUUUUCUCUCAGUUAAGGGGGGAGCUUAUAAAAUACUCAAGUACAUAGUUAAAUAGUCAAUGAGCAAGCCUCAGAAAACCACUGUGAAAUUGAAAAUCAAACUAAGCAUGACAGUGUAACCUGAUGCAGCCAACCUGAAACCAUAGCACAGUCCCAUUAACAGCCACCUUGUAGAACCUGAAAUUAUGUACAAGUACAGAGUACUUUAGUAAAAAUGCCAUCCCACAACAAACUAACAAAAGCAGAAUUUUCUUUGACCUGAAAUUAUAGAUGUCAGAGUCCUUCAGUAGAAAUGCCACCCCGCAACAAACUAACAAAAGAAGAAUUUUCUUUGAGCUUUGAAUCUAUUCUCCUCUAUAUUAGUCCAUCUUAUACCAACACUAAAUAACGUCUUAUAGGCAAAGUAGAAGUUCUUUCUAUGGAAUUGGAGUUCACUAAAUCACACACUUAUCCUUACACAGCCAUAGAAAUCUCUAAACAAAACAAAACACCCCUGACAAAACCUGGACCUAAUAUAAAAAUACAACACUAAGCCUCAAUCCCAAUCCAACAAGCUGGUAUAUACUCCCUCUGUUUCAAUUUGUUUGUCUCUUUCUUUUUUUGGUCGAGAUAAACAAAACUUUCCUUUUUAGUCCGUUUCGAAAGAAUGUGUCUUUCUUUUUUUGGCAACUCCUUAAUUCUAAUUUACAAAGCAUGUUUAAGACAACAGGAUUAAAAGACAUUUUAGUACAUUCCACAUAUCUUUAGUUUUAGUUUAAGACCAUAAGAUUCACAAGUAUUCUUUACAUUCUUAAACUCUAUGUCAAGUCAAAACGAGACAAACAAAUUGAAACAGAGGGAGUAUCCAAUAUGUUCUGUUCUUUUUUUUUCUUUUUUUUAUGACCUUGGUAUCUGGGCCAACUUUCGCACACCUCGACUGAUUCCACGGGGUACCUGCCACCUCUACCAGCAACAGGGAUAGAUGGGAAAAAUCACCUAGUUGUUUUUGUUUCCGCUAUGUUCUGUUCUUAGCUAAGAACAAUGGCAUAUAUUGUAGUAAGAUGAAAAUAUCAAUAUGGAAUCCGAACAAUGUCAUUUCUCAUAUCUCAUCAAAUCACUGCACUAGCUUUCCCCAUAUUUCACUAUCAGCCCCAUAUCAUGAAAUAGUGUUUCUCAUAUUUCACUAUCAAUCACAUAACUGCACUAGUUUUCUUAUAUCUCAACUAAUCUCGAACUAACAGAAAAGUGUAAGUUAUGGAAAGUUAGCAAGUAAAAAAGAGAAAGAGAGAGUACCCAUCUUCACUGAGGAUGCCAUGAGGGAAAUUACGAAUUGGGUUCGUUAAGCUGUAAUUGUAAAGCUUAUUGCCUUGCUCAAAACUAAGCUGACACGUUCCAUAGACCGAAGUAAUGAUGGUGGCGAAGAUUAGUGGAAGAAGAAGCAGAAUGAGUGGAUGGCGAUUUCGGAAACUGCCACCAAUUGUCAUUUCGAAUUCCUAAAACUACAUAAGCAGCAAUUUAUUGGGUUGUGAGAAUUUUUGCAGUAAUCGAAGGUUUGUUUUCUUGAUCUUUACAGAAAUGAAGUCGAAUCUUGCUUGGGAGGGGAGGCCAGCGAACAAGAUGAACUCACGGCGGUUUUGGAUGUGUGUCCUUAUAGCUAAUUACGGACUUACUAAUUAAUCAGCUGAUUACUACUCCUAUUAGAUUGUAAUAUUAUGAAUUUUAUUAUAUUUUGAAUUUCAAGUAUGUGUAUAUGAUGUGUUUAUAUAAAUAUGCAUUUCGGAUAUAUAUUAUUAUCAUUUAAUUUGUUUUAGGUACACUAUAUGAUGAUAAAUUCGUAUGUAUUUGACUUUCUCGCUUAUCUUUUUUCUAUUUGAGUUACCAUUCUCCUAUUUGCUCGCCUCUCUCCUUUUAUCAGGUAUCCAGAUAGGUAGAUACACAUAUUUAAUGUAAUUCACUGUUGGGAUAUAUGCUGCUAAACAUGUGUUUAGAUAUAAUUAUUUUUUCAUUUUUAAUAGAUCAUAUAUUCGUAUUUUGUGUCUGUUUGCGUAUAUAUUACUUAGAUGAUUUAGUGUAUAGAGUUUUAGCUUAUACACAGAGAAUUAAUCAUCGGUUCUUAUAAGUAUAAAGUUUUUUGUUCACAAUCUAAGAUGGGAAUUGGACAUGUCAUCGGUACGAUUGUAGCACAAGAUUAUAUGUAGUUUAUCUUGAUUAUGGAAAUGGUAUAGUUCUAAUUUCUUGUGCUAGUGCAUUUUGUAUGUAUUGAAUGGGACCGAGUAGAGAUAGUUGAUUUAGACUGACUGACAAAAGCAUAAUUCUCUAAACUAUUAAAUGUACUUAUAUUCUUAAUCUUGAUAUAACCAUUAUGAUAUGUAUAUGUUAUUUAUCGUUUUGAUUUAUUAAAAGGUGAGAUUCUAAGUUGGGUCAAUAUGCCUGGUAGAUUGAAUGAUGAUUAUAUAUAUUGGUGAAAUAAUAAGUUAGUUGACGAAAUUCAUGUUUCGAUAUAGAGAUUGAUGAUAUGCCUUUUUGAGAAGCUUAUAAGUUUUCAUCAUGUCAAACCUUGUAAGUGGAUCUAUGAAUCCGACACAUGAAAUAAGUUAAGUAGUGCUCUAAAGAAAAUUAAUCAUUGAAUUAAAUUCAUCAGUAAUUUAAUUUAUUGAUUAGUAUCUGUAAUCUUUAACAUGAGGAAUUAUGUGUUUAAUGAGAAAUUUUUCAAAUAUAAAUAGAGGAGUACAAUUAUGAAUUUCUAGUGGAAAUGAUUUGUACGUAAUUUAUUAUGGCAAGAAUAAUUCAAAUUAAUUAUUGGGAAUUCUUUUCAUAAUAGGAAGCCUCAAUAAUUAAUUAUUUGGUCUCUACCAUGCUCAUAUUUAACUAGAACCCAAAAUAUAUUCUAAGGGGAAAAGGAAGAAGUACAUGUCUUUUUCUAUUCUAAGGAAAGGGAGAAGUACAUGUCUUUUUCUAUUAUAAGGAAAGACUAUGUGUUUCUUCUCCUCAUUAGACUAGGCAAGAAAUCUCUAUAAAUAGGGAUUCUUCAAACCCUUAGAUUCUUCAUUGGAUUCGCUUGAAGGUAUCUGCUCACGCUUCAAGAAGUAAUUCUUGAAUUAAAUUUCAGAAAGUUCAUGUCCUCUAACAUGAUUGUACUUGUUCUAGCAUAAACUAUGUGUUGUCUAUUAUUCAUGUAAGUUGUAUGAUUCUAAUAUGAUUCCGCUAUGCAUAUAGUUUUCCAUCAUUCACAUGCAUCUGGAAAUGAUUUGUAUGUAUAUGGAGAUCUCACUUGCCUCCCUGUGGCCUCUUUCCUUCUCUCACUCGCUUCUCUUUCUACUUUAAUGUAUCUAGCAGUAAAAAUAUAUAUAUCUAGGUGUAUUUGCCUUGAUAUUUGAUAUGAAAUUAUUAAUUAGUGAGACAAUAUAUAAUUAUUUCAAAUUAUAGAAAAAUAAAUAAAUAUGAUAUGAAUGUUUAUGUACUUAGGUAUUUUUUUCUUUCUUUUUCUGUUUCUAAUAUAUUUCUAUUUUAUGUUAACUAUGCACAAUUAGUUAAUGUCCCUUAGGGUCAGGAGAAAAUGAUCUCUUGUGACAAUUUUAUGAAUUGAAUAAAUUUUUAUUUUUUUAAUAUUUCUUAUUUGUGAAAAUGAAAUUUUAAUUAAAAAGAAACUACAAAUCAUUCUCUCGUCAUUUGUCAAACAAAAUAAAUGGGGUUCAACAUGCAUAAAAUAUUCCUAAUAUUAUUGAAUAUUUAUCAAAUAAGGAAAUACUAUUUCAUUUUUUGAAGUCCGAUAAAAAAAAGUUAUGUCAUAUAAAUUAUGACAAAUUAUUAUAUAAAUUGUCACUUUUAAUAUAAUUUGUUGUAUUUGUGCUAUAGAGCUUUGCAUCCCUAAAAUAGAUAUAAAUAAUACUCUCCAAUCGCCAUUUGUCAAUAUAUGAUCACACGACUAGCUAAACUCUCCUCUCAAUUUAGACAUGAUAAAAUGAAUAUAAAUCAAGCAUAAACAAUAUUGAAUUUAAAUAACCUCUCAAUUUAAUAUCACAAUUCACAUGCGUCCCAAAAAUUAAUUUAUCAAAUAAAAAUACAAGAAACAAAUGAAAUGUAUACCUACCUAACCCAAUUGUCAAAUAAAAAUCUUUAUUUCAACUUUACCCCACAAAUGAAUAAAUCCAAUUUUGGUGACAAAGAACAUUGCAUUAAAGAGAAAAAAAAUAGGAGAAACUUUCCAACUUUCCUGCAGAAAUAACGCAAAUUUUUAUUAUAUUUUUAUAAUUGUGAUAUUUUGACCAAAUAUUCAAAAUAAUAUUUUUCUCAAAGUAAAUAUUUAAAAUUAUUUCCAAAAUCAGCCGAUGUGAUGACGCCAGAUAGAAUUACUCAUCUUUUAAUAAAGCCUUAUGCAUUACGAAUCUAAAUUAAUCUUUCGAUACAAAUAUCAGACACGAUUGAAAAUAAAAAAGUCAUUACAAAAGCAAAAUUUAUAGCCGACCGUUUGCUUGAAUGCCACGAGCCUGCCACGCGCUGUUAUGCACUACUCAAUCCUAUCCAUCCACGUGUCAUCCAUCCAACGGCUGUAAGUCCUCUCAUGUCGGGUUUUUCAUCAUCUACUUACUAUAAUCAUCUUCCCUCUUUCAUUUUCCUUUGAUUUCUUUCUACUGAUAAUUGUUCAAUUUCUGCAUAAGUUUCAGUAUUCAUCAUCAUGCUUCUAAAAGUGGCACCUGCGUUUGCGUUGUUGAACACCCAUGGGGAAAAUUUGGGUUCCAUGUUAUCAUUUUCUUCACAUGGAUCUGUUUUGAAGAAUUUUUCGGCAAAAAGUGGAAAUGGAUUGGUUGUAUGUGCUUCAAAGGGUUCGAACAGCAAACCGUUGACGGGUGUUGUUUUCGAACCCUUUGAAGAGGUGAAGAAAGAGCUUAUGCUUGUACCUACUGUUCCUCAUGCUUCUCUUGCUAGACAGAAGUUCACUGAUCAAUCUGAAGCUGCUCUUAAUGAACAGAUCAAGUGAGUUUUUUUAAUAUUUCUAAGAUUUAUCCAUUUUUUUGCUCUUGUUUGAUGUUUUGCUUUUUAUUGUAUUAUUUUGUUGUAGUUAUUGGUCGUUUGGUAGCAUGGGUUACUAGAAAUAUUAUACAUGUAUUAGAUCAUGCAUAAGUAAUAUCAUGUUUGGUAAUUGGUUAGACUAUAUAUAAAAUUAAUAGCGUGUUUGAUUUGCACUUUAGAAACUUGCAUAACUAAUACAGGUAUGGUAGGAGGGAAUCUAUGUAUAAUUUUAGAUAGGAUAGAAAAUGAGAUAAUUAAUACAUGAAUAACUAAACUCCGCCUAACGAAUUCCUGCAUAAAACAGUACAUAAAUUUACUCAUAAUUAGUCCAUGUAUUACUAAUAUUUGCAUAACUCAAGCCAGCUACCAAACGAUUUAUACUGCUCAAUAAAAUUGCUUUGGACGGUUCCUUUUUGAGCCGUCUAGCAGAAACAACCUCUCUACUUCUGAGUUAGAAGUAAUGUUUGCGUACACUCUAACCUCCCCUGACACCACUUUGUGGGACUAUAAUGGGAAUAGUGUUGUCGUUAACAUGGGAAAUUCAUGUAAGUGACCACAACUAGUUUGAAAUUGAGGGUAGUAGUAGUUGAUAUGUUGUUGUUGUUGUGUUUUAGAAGUGGUGUUCAAAACAUUUCACUCUUACCAAGGGAAUGCGAAAUUUUCCAAUCUCAUAGAUACAUAUAGAAUUAUGAGGAAAUAGAACUGCCUUAGCGGAGACUAAAAAUAGUGACUAUAGAACUGCCUUAGCGGGGCUAAAAAUAGUGACUAUGUCUUCAUGCUUUCGAAAAAAGAAAACACCUAUCUAUACGGGGCAUUAUUUGUCUACUUAUUGCAUUAGUCGUGUCUAUUUUGAAGUUUUUUUAACUCGUUUGAUGUGAAGCCCUUCCAUACGCGUAUGAAACUUUGAUCAGUCCUAGUUGAUUGGUCAAAUGAGGAUUAUGAUUUCUCACCUUUUGGAACAACUUCUUAUAGUUCUGUUACUAUCUGUUUAUGAGAUUGUUUUGUAUUUUUUGUGAUUGCAGUGUGGAAUACAAUGUUUCGUAUGUUUACCAUGCUAUGUAUGCCUAUUUCGACAGAGACAAUGUUGCUCUCAAGGGACUUGCCAAGUAAAUAUUCAAAGACUCUUCCAAAUCGAUGAGUUAGCCGUGUGGAUUUUGUUUAAUGGUUUGUGAUUAUAUGUUAUUGUUUUGGUGAUAUAGGUUUUUCAAGGAAUCAAGUGAAGAGGAAAGGGAACAUGCUGAGAAAUUCAUGGAGUAUCAGGUGUUUGAAAAUUUGCCUUUAUGAAAUUUUGUGUUACUGCUUUUUAUCUUUAUGAUUUGUGCUUUGUGUUUGGGGGAAUGGUUAAUUCUAGCAUCUGGUUGUACAUGCUAAUUGGGUUGCUUCAACUUCUUGUAUUACUUGGAUUUAGAACAAGCGUGGUGGGAAAGUGAAGCUGCAGUCUAUUUUAAUGCCAUUAUCUGAGUUUGAUCAUGCUGAGAAGGGGGAUGCAUUGUAUGGUAAGUUUGUUUCUGUUCUCGUAUGUUUUGCUUGUUAACCAUGGUGUCUAGGCCAACUUGCAUGUACCUCGACUAAUUCCAUGGUUACCUGCUAUAGGAAGAAUUCACUUAGUGUUUUUGCCUUGAGACGUGAUCCUGAGACUUCCUUGUUCUUCCCCCGUUUCAUUGAUCAUUAGGCCACAUCCUUGAGUGCACUUUCUGUUGUAUGUUGCAAUCCUAUUUUUGUAAUUAGAUAUUUUGAUGAUACUAGUAAAAAUGGUUGUCUAGAUUAUAAGUUGCUAGAAAUGUUUACUAUGUUCAUCAGAUGUCUAUGUUGACAACUUGACACCAAAAGAGAUAUAAUUAAUGUUGCAGACGCCAGUAUGCCCUUGUACUCCCAAAUGCCUACUAAUAACUAUUUCCUCUUCCUUGUGAAUUGAGAAAUACGAAAGUUCUUAUGUUAUUAAACACUGAAAAAAAGGAGAUUGAACUUUCAGUUACUUACCACAUGCUUUGUCGAAUUUAUUCUGUAGCAAUGGAGCUUGCACUUUCUUUGGAGAAGUUGACAAAUGAGAAACUCUUAAACUUGCAUGCUGUGAGUUUUUCUACUAUUCUUUUUUAGUUGUAGCUAUACACAAUCAUUUGAAAUAGACAACCAUUGUGUUGGUUUUCGAUGACAUUGAACAAAAAAGUUCUGCAUCUUGGUUUUUCAUAAUUUGCCACUAUACAUUUUGACUACUCUUUAACUUUUAAAAACAGGUAGCCACACGAAACAAUGAUGUGCAGUUGGCUGAUUUUGUUGAAAACAAGUACUUGCAAGAACAGGUCUGGCUUCUUUACUAUUUGUCUAAUGGAGUUGUUAAGUCUCAAUACUAAUGCAUGAUGCUAUUUUAAUUUUUAAGACAUGUUCUUCCUUUGUUUCUUUUAACUUUUAAGACGUGUUCUCCUCAUUAGGUGGAAGCAAUCAAGAAGAUCUCGGAAUAUGUGGCUCAGCUGAGAAGAGUGGGCAAAGGACAUGGUAGGAUCACGCUCCCUUGUGAAUUACUUAUUAAUUAAUUAUACUGUUCCCCUUGUACACUAUUCAUAUAAACCUUAACUUUUCAACGUCCUCGGCUGCAAUUUAGGUGUCUGGCACUUUGAUCAAAUGCUCCUGCACGAGGCGGAAGUUCUUGCUUGAUGGAGAAGAUAGACUUACAACUUUCUACGAGCACAGUGCCCCUUUGGAGGAUGUUGUCUGGGUAUAUUUUGUCAUAAGCCUUUUCUAUGAGAUUAAGAUAUAUAAGGUGUUUUGGUGAUCGAAAGUCCCGGUGCUGUACAUAGACCAAAUAGAUGUAGUUAUCUGUGCUACUUAUUAGUACCCUCCUGGUGUUCAAAUCAGUUUUAAUUUCCCUUAUGGUUUGCUAGUUGUAGCUUGGAAUCGAAGGUGCCCCAUUGAAGUCAAAUGUAAAGUGAAGUUAGUUUUGUUUUUAGUUGGAUGUUGGCUCAUUUGGAGAAAUAAUAAAUAAUUGGAAUUCAGCUGAAGUUGCUUUUUUCGGGGUUUGUUUCGAUAUUUUUACAUGUAAUUGUAAAAAGUGACGUCGUUUUCGAUAGAUUCUUCUCUCAAUAGAGAUACAUGUGGAGUAAUUUUCUUAGAUAAUCACUCAUGUUUGGAAAAUUACUUAGGAAUAUCACUUAUGUUUGUUUUAGGAUUACAAUAUCACCCAACUUUGCCUAUUUUUAUCAAAAUAUACUUGACACAAAAAAUACAUUAUCUCUCUCCUACUAGGAUGCCAUGUCACUAUUUUUUAAUUUAUUAAUAAUAUUUUUUUAAUUCUUUAAAUGACAGCUUAUUUAAUGUAUCUAUAAGAGAUCAUUAAUCAAUUCUCUAUGAAAAUCUAGUUACUUCAAUUUUAUAGUGAAAAUCUUUAUCCUAUGUUUCAUUUACGAGUAUUUGCCAUUAUAUCCAUACAAAAAUUUAGUCUUGCUAUCGAGGAAAAAAUUAAACUAGUUACUUGAAGUGAUGAAGAAACAAUAAAUUUAGUUGGAUAUUUUGAGAUAAACUAGAUAUUAGGAACAUUGAUUUUUACACAAACUAUAAACAUAUGCUGCUUGUUCACGGUAAAAAAUCAAAGAUUUCUUGUUCAUGGUAAAAAAAAAAAGAUUUUUACACAAAUUAUAAACAUUUGUUCAAAGCUUAGGCAGAUUCAAACAAUAGAAAUAUCCGAUUCAAAAACAAGCCAAGACAAAAAACCCCUAAAUUUUAAGAAAAUUACUCCAAUAUCAUGUUAAGUAUUCAAAUUAUUUCACAAUUUACACUUCAAAAAUAAAAGAAUUAGAAGAAAACUUGAAUUUUACCUCGUGGCGAUUUCUUUGGUCGACAUCAAAGGUAUACAGCGGCUCAGGAGACAGUUCCUUAUGCAGAUUCGUUAACUUAAUCCUUAAAGAACCUGAGGAAGCCACAUAUUUUCUUGAAGAAUUGGAGGAGCUCAUAUUACAGUUCCUUAUGUAAUUUUUUUUACUAAGUAUAAUAUAUGAAUUGCCUAAUUUUUAAAAAAAAAUUGUUAAUAAUAAAAAAAAGGAAUAAUGUGACAUGUCAUCCUAAUAGGAAAGAGAUAAUGUAUUUAUUGUGUCAAGUAUAUUUUGAAGAAAAAUAUGUAAAGUUGGGUGAUAUUAUAGUCCUAAAACAAACAUAAAUGAUUUUCCUAGGUAGUUUUUCAAACAUGGAUGACUAUCUAGGAAAAUUACUCGAUACAUGUGCACAUAUUACCUCCAAUGUAGAUGUGCACUUAAUGGAUAUAUCAAUUAUUUAUGAAAGUGUAUAGCUAAAGAAUGUGGAAAGUAUUUUUGUCGAUAUUUUUUUUAAUUUUUUUUUUAUAUAAGGCAUAAUACAUAAGUAUUUUUUUUUUAAACUUAGCUUUGGUUCAUAUUUAUGCCCUCCAAUUUUGGGUGUGUACAAAUAAGCAAUUAAAUAAGUAAAAACACAUGUAUCCUAUAUAGCAUAAUACAGGUAGGGACAUGGGCACAAACUUAAGGAUAAUUUUAUUAUUAUGUCAUUAUAUAAUGCGUGUUAUUCUUAAAUCUUAAUACAACAAAUCAAAAUGUAUAUAAGAAAUAAUUAAGACUAUCUUUAUACAUCUUUGACAAUUGCCACGUGUCACCAACACAUGAGCCUAAUUGCAUCAUCGACUCCAUAAGGUUAGGCACAUAACGAUUGCGUGUGCUCGAUCCAUCUUUGGCUUCUUCUCGAAGAAAGCACUUACACAUAAAAAUAAAUAAAAUUAAAAAAUCGACUAUAAAUAAAAGCAAACUGAAGGAAUCAGGAAGAACUCGAAAGAAGAAAUGUUGAAUAACUCCAUGAAUGUUGCUCUGUUACUACUCAUUCAACUUCUACUCAUUGCAAUUGCGGUACAGUACUCAACCGCUGAUGAAUCCUUCGAUGUUCGUCAACAUCUAUCAACUGUAUCGAGGUUAUCUCUUAUUACUAUUUUUCUCUUUUCAAUUUGAAAAAUUUGAUACUGUUUUAGAGAAAUACGAUCUGGUAAUUGGUAAAUGUAUUAACUAUUCUAAAUUUUGAGCUAUCUCUGAGCUGAAUUUACAACUGUGAGCAGCUAAAGUUAAUAUUUAGAGUGAAUAGGUUAAAGCCUCGCUAUUUUGCGAAUUUCGUACCUAAACUAUUAGGUGUUCUAUGUGGCGAAAUGUUUGGAAUAACUUCCUUACAGGUGCGUGGGAGAUGACAAAUGUCUUAAAAAUGAAUUCAACUGGUACAAUGAGAGCCUCCUAGUAGACUUGCAAAAUAGUGAUGGUUUAGGGGUUUUUAACCUAUUCACUCAAAUUUGUUUCUACAUGUAUCACCAGUUGGAACUGUUUGGAGGAGUUUUUGGAGUGUGAUUUUCACAUAGCAUGGCGUAUUCUCUGGGGUAUUUUAAUAUAAGUUUGUGGUUGUUUGGGGGUUCUGUGAACACCAAAUAUUUUAGGUAUGGAGCUCAUAACACAGUGCUAAUUUUGUGCUACUCGGUCUGUCCGAAUUUAUGUCGCAGUGAGUGGCACCGAUUGACUUUGACACUAAGUUUAAGAAAAAAAGGUAGACUUUUGAAAUUUGUGGUCUAAAACAAAUCUUAGACAUUUGUGUGACUAUAAAUCAUUUCAUUAAGGAUAGAAGGGGAAUACAAGUUAAGUUGUUUCUAAUAUAGAAAGGUGACAUUCUUUCUGGGGACGGACUAAAAGGGAAAACAUGCCACAUAAACUGGGUCAGAGGGAGUAUUAUAUAGAUUUAUGCAUGUGUAAGUUGACUUGUUUUAGCAUGUUACUUGAGAUGGCCUUUUAAGUAACCUGAAUUAAGCAUAGAAUUUGAAAGAAAAAUUAUAUGUAUUAAACAAAUAUGCAGUUCAAACAGAUGGCAGAUCAGCAUGCUGUCUAGUGUCUAAUUACUAAAUUUCAGACUGCAUAGUAGAGUUUCGUCUUGAGUCAUCUGUGGCCAAAAGAUAAGAACAGAGAGAAGUCCGCAAUUUCAGUUGGCAUUUGCAUUAUAGAAUUGGGCUAUUGAUGUACUUGUUUAUUGGUUUUGUUUUCAGGUAUGGUAUUGUGAAGGAUAUAUCUGAUGAUUCCUUUGCUCCUUCCCAAAAUCUCGAUCAGUGUACACCUAUUCAUUUGAAUCUUGUGGUGAGUCUUUGUUUGAUGUUUCUGCUGGUGUUGUUCUUUCUUGUGGUGCCAAUGCAAAUUGGUUUAGACAUUUAAGUUGUACUUGUUGUAUUUUCUGUUGCCAUUUUUUUGUCAUUACAUAGAAUCUUUUCUUUGCCUACACUUAAUAGGAAAGUGUUAUGUGUAAUAGUAUUAUCCGUGUCAUUCCCCUGAAAGAGCUAUAACAGCGAGAAAAUUGUGGAUGUGCAUGUGUGGGGUGCAUUAAGACUCUUAUCACAUUGUCUUGAUACUCUAGGCCUUGGAGCGCUUGUUGAUAGUUACUGAAUUAACUCAACAAACUAACACAAAGUUUAGGCUGCCAUUGGAAGUUCAUCUACACCAAAUUGCAGGAACCUUUUCUUUGUUUGUUGAUUUCUUAUAAUGGUAGUGUUCUGACUAGCUUGUGGCUUUGUGUGCACCUCGACUAAUACACUUGUUACCUAUUACUUUCCAUCAGCAAGCUACUUGGUAACUCUAUCCAUCAAUAUUUAGACAGAUGGAAGAACCUAGUAUUGCCUCUGCUGGAAUGCGAACCUCAGUUUGCAGGGUUGUAAUCCAGCUCUUCGACCACCAGGCCAUCCUCUUUAGGGUGAAGCAAUCAGAAAAUCUUAAUUCUGUUGAGAUUUGGACGAUGCUUUAUGAUGGGAAAGUUGCUGAAGGUAUCCCAUAAAUCUAGAUUGCGAGUAAAGUCAUCUUAUUCGCCAAAGGAUUAUAUCUGAAGAUUAAUGUCACUUAUUUGUCAUAGCUUGCUAAUCUCUUCGAGAUUUCGACGUUUCAGAAGUUUGAACAGUAUGAUCCUCAAAUAUUUAGUGUCCUGAAUCUUGUUCUCCCCUUCCGUUUCAUUCGGAAUAGGUUCAAUCUUCUGCUGAUCCAUGUCAACUACUAUUUGGCACUUUAUGUGUCAUUUUCCCUUUUGAACUUUUUAAUGGAAAAUGCAUAGACAUCAUUUGCUUCGUCUAAUUUGCACAAAUGUGAUUUUUGAUUCUCGUAUGGAAAUUGUGCUCGAUUAAAAGGAGAUAUUUCAACAGGUUUCUUUCAGGUAAUGCUAUGCUCAUGAGAGAGGGUUCUUGAUUGGUAACUUCUUUAAUCUUCUUAUUUGGUAGGCGCGGCAUGGCACUCGUGCUCCUACAAAGAAAAGGAUCAGGGAGCUAGAAGCCUUUGCUGCUCGAUUGGAAGUCCUUGUACGUGAUGUUAAGGAACAGAAGCAGUCUUUGGAUAAAAUUCCUGCUUGGUUAAUGGGGUGGAACUCUCCUUGGAAGGGCAAACGUACAGGCGGAGAGUUGAUCAGCGAAGGAGAAGACGAGUUAUAUCAUCUUGGUAUCAGAGUCAGAGAACAGUUUCCCAGCCUGUUUAGUGAAGAAUACCACCCUGCUAUAUAUUCAAUCAAGACUACCCAGGUUGACAGUUAUUUUACUUUUUAAAAUCUGCAUACUGACUUACUGUCACGCAUGAAUAAAUCCAUCUCACAUUUAGUGUGUGUGUGUGUGGUGGUGGUGGUGGGUGGGGUGAGGGNNNNNNNNNNNNNNNNNNNNNNNNNNNNNNNNNNNNNNNNNNNNNNNNNNNNNNNNNNNNNNNNNNNNNNNNNNNNNNNNNNNNNNNNNNNNNNNNNNNNNNNNNNNNNNNNNNNNNNNNNNNNNNNNNNNNNNNNNNNNNNNNNNNNNNNNNNNNNNNNNNNNNNNNNNNNNNNNNNNNNNNNNNNNNNNNNNNNNNNNNNNNNNNNNNNNNNNNNNNNNNNNNNNNNNNNNNNNNNNNNNNNNNNNNNNNNNNNNNNNNNNNNNNNNNNNNNNNNNNNNNNNNNNNNNNNNNNNNNNNNNNNNNNNNNNNNNNNNNNNNNNNNNNNNNNNNNNNNNNNNNNNNNNNNNNNNNNNNNNNNNNNNNNNNNNNNNNNNNNNNNNNNNNNNNNNNNNNNNNNNNNNNNNNNNNNNNNNNNNNNNNNNNNNNNNNNNNNNNNNNNNNNNNNNNNNNNNNNNNNNNNNNNNNNNNNNNNNNNNNNNNNNNNNNNNNNNNNNNNNNNNNNNNNNNNNNNNNNNNNNNNNNNNNNNNNNNNNNNNNNNNNNNNNNNNNNNNNNNNNNNNNNNNNNNNNNNNNNNNNNNNNNNNNNNNNNNNNNNNNNNNNNNNNNNNNNNNNNNNNNNNNNNNNNNNNNNNNNNNNNNNNNNNNNNNNNNNNNNNNNNNNNNNNNNNNNNNNNNNNNNNNNNNNNNNNNNNNNNNNNNNNNNNNNNNNNGGUGGGGGGGACAGAUAUUUUACCUUUCAUUGCGGAAAAUUCUCGAAUCAUUGCAGUUAAUGGGAAUGGAAAAAAUUUGUCAACAUGAUAAUGUCGUUAAGGAGCCUUUACUUAUCAAAGGCUUAUAGUUAAGGAGCCAUUUAUUUUUUACUUAGUUAAUCAGGGAGAGCAAAAUCUGACUCGCAGUAAUAGCUAGAGGCCACUGGAUUCGAACUUCUAAUACCACAGUUUUGAAAACUGUGAUUCUGUGACUUGUACGUUGUUACUUCGUUAUGGUAUCUUUAUUUAUGGUGGAAAAUAUGUGCACACGUGUAUGACUAUGCAUCCACCAAAUAAACAAAUAGCAUGGAAAUCCUAUAGAAACUUUUUUGCAUCUGGAUGCCUUUCCCAAUAGAAGUGUCAGAAGAUUUUGUUAUAGCAUUGCCUCACAAUGCUUUGAGAAUCACACUCAACCAAAGCACAUGCUCAUUUUUUCAUUAAAUGAUGCAUCAAAGGAUUCUGCUGCUUUGGGAUCCUUGCAAGACUAUUGAACUUAUUGGCAUUGCCUUCUUCAUUAUAACUACAAGUCCUCUGAUUCUGUCGCUGCUUCUUGUUAACUCAUCACUAGCCAUGACUUUUGACAAUGAUAGUGACAUUAAUAGGUUCCUCGGGCAUCAGCUAGCGCUGUGGCAUUUGGCAUGGGUCUGUUUAGUGGAAAAGGGAAGCUUGGACCAGGAGGUUAUCGAGCUUUUGCUGUUACAAGUGAAAGCCGUGCAAGUGAUACAGUUUUGAGAUUUCAUGAUUGUUGUCAAAGCUACAAGGUAUGCUUGCAAAAUUUAUUUGGUGGCAGUCUUUAUGUAGCUUAAAUCAAAAUUAAUUUGCAGUUGGUAGGUUAUUGAGGUUUUCCUUAUUAAUUGAGACUUCAUUUUCUGAUGCAAGUACAUCAAACCUGGAAUCUAGUGCACUGAGAAACUCAGAAUACAAAAUAUUUCAGCUUCUAAAUUCAGAUUAAUUUGAUCAUGACCAUCAGAGGCCCAUUUUCUUAGCUGUUUUUUUUUUUUUUUUUUGCAUUUUGACUUCAAAAGGAGUGAAGUUGAUGAUGAUAAUCAGUCUGUUUGGGUCCCAGUCAUUGUUCACUGGCUAUUACAUAACUUUUAUUCAUACUAGUAACCCAGUCCCAAUCAUCUAUACUUCAGAUAAAUGCAAUCAACAUGAUCAUGCAUAGAGAGUGCUGACAUAUAGCAACAGAUUUUAAGUUCCUUAUUACUUUGCUAAGCCUAGUGGCAUUGUUGGAAUUUCAGCACUAAGAAUGGUUUUCAGCAGAAACUAGUGGUCUAUCUUUUCCAAUUGACAUGACCUUUUUCCUUAACCGACUAAGUUCCCAUCUCUUUGAAAUAAGCAGCACAUAAAUGAAAACUCUAGAGAAUGUCAACUUUGAUCAGACAUGCAUUUUUUGAGAAAAUACCUUUCUCUCAUUACAAUCAUUAUUUUGAGUGUACCCUCUACUAAACCUUGUUUUGAGCAUAUCCCCUUAUUAAUUCCUGUAGGAUCUCCUCUCUAGUUAAACUAGGCAACGACUAUCUGAGAUGGAAGAAGUAGAAAGGAAGAACCACGGGAAACAUCCUUUUCAUGAUAAAUAAGAACCAUGGCCUUUCUCAAAAUAAUAAAAACCAUGGGAAAGAUAACAGUGAAUCCUUAUCCAGAUUUUGAGCUGCUAGUUGUCCAAAGUGAUAUGAACAACUUAAAAAGUUCAUCCCUGGGAAUCACCAGGAGAUACUUGCCCAGUAUAAAGUGCAAUCUUGGCUUUGUUGAUAGAUAAAGUGCUACGACCUUAGGGUGUCUUACCAAUUUAAAAAUUGAAACAGGGAAGUCUUUAAGGGAAUAUUUAUGACUUAGGCGUCAGAUAUGUCCUAAUUCAGAUGGGUCAACGAGGUAUCUUGCAUCAAAGAUCUUGAAUAUUCAUUAUUUUCCUAAAUAGCACGUUGUGUAUCCGAACUUCCCUCUCCCAGCAUUUUUUGUUUCUCCUGCACCUGCUUGCCUUACUGCUGAUUUGGAUCCUUUCUCUAUAUGCAGAUACACACACUACUAUUUGAUUUGUGAGAUGACUUAGAAAGAUAGUUUACAUGACAGUUCUUUCUGGUGACAGGAUUUUAGGAAAAGUCAGGAACCAACUGUAAAGAAGCUCAAAGAACCUGUAUUAGAUGAAAUUACUCAUGAACUAGUGAAGCAAUACGGGCUUAAUUUUACAAAACAGGAUGUAUCUUCUCUAUGGUUUUUAUGCAAACAGGUUAGUAUUGCACUAGUGUUCCAGUGGUGCAAAACUAUCUUCAACAUUUUAUUUGUUUAUUUAGAUCUGAGGAUAGUAAUUUGUUUUUAAUUGACUGCUCCAACAGGAAGCUUCACUGUUGAACAUCACCAAUCAAGCUUGCAGUCUAUUCAGCCCAGCAGAGGUAUUUUGAGUUAAUCCCUUUUUCCAUGGUUCCUCAUGAACUUAAUAAACAGAAGGGAAAGUGAGCAGGGGCUUAUAUGUUCCUAGGUUUUGCUAGUCAAUUAGUUUUGGUUCCUGUGUUGUAAGGAGCUCUCCUUUGUUUUUCUUAGGUCAUAACUGGGAAAAUUGGGACGGGAUGCAUGAUUAAGCUAAUUUGAUUGAUGUUUGAUUAAAAGUAGUCAACCCCUAUUACAAUUUUUUUUUUCUGGUGUACAAAGUAUCUGCAUUUUGUCAUUGGCAUAGGAAUUUGAAGCCUUGUUGUUUCAAACCAUCCUUAUUGACAAGUUAUCAUUUAGGUUUCUUUGCUGGAAUGGGCCGACGAUUUGGAGUUAUUCAUACUAAAGGGCUAUGGUAAUUCACUAAAUUACCGAAUGGGAGUGCCGCUACUUGAGGAUGUAAUUCAAUCCAUGGAACAGGCAAUUAAGGCUAAAGAAGGUAAUGUCAAUUGAAGUAGCAUUAUCUCGUUUUGUUUUUUCCUUGGAGGGUUGCAGGGGUUCAGAUGGUUGUUCACUAUGGUCCAUUGAUAGCUUAUUUCCCUUACCUUCCUCAUACGACAAGAUUUAAGAGGAAGAAAUAAUUCGAAAAAAGUGAAGUGAACUCCUUAAUCCUUGGAGUUGUACUCAAUCAAAAAGAGUUGCUAGAGAUGGAGAGGAGAUUAUUCCUCUCCUUAUCAAAUGGAGGCCAAGUAGGGGAAGUAUUUCUCUUCUUGUAAAGAAAGACCAGGCCCACUUCGUUAUAUGUCAUAUAGAUCUCAUAUAACCUGCGAACUUAUAAAUUUUGUCCAUAUUCCAUUACUCUCUUAGUAAGCUGUCCUUUUCAAUUGCUAUCUAGGAGACUGUUAGAUAAGUGUAGGGAGUGGAGACUUUGUUGCACCAAUUACUUGAUUACCGUUAUUGUUAGUAAUGAGUAUCUUUUUUUCUCAAGAUCGUUUUUGUUUUGCCUAUUCAUAUCUUCUAUGGAAUUUAAUCUCUUUAGAGGUGGAAAUUUGAUAUCUGGUGCUCUUGUUUUAUGUGAUUUCUCCUCCAUUAGAAGGAUAUGCUCCCGGGAGCUAUGAAAAAGCAAGACUACGUUUUGCUCAUGCAGAAACUCUGCUUCCUUUUUCAUGCUUGAUCGGACUCUUUCUUGAAGAAUCUGGUGAGUGUUCAUACAAUAAGAUGGUUUUAAGCUCUACUACCUCCGGUUUCUUAAUCAAUUUUAUGCACUUGAAUGUUUCAGAAUUUGAACUAAUACAAAGAGAGCAGACAUUGCAAUACCCUCCUAAGCCUCCUAAAACAAGAAACUGGCGGGGAAAUAUGGUGGCACCUUUUGCUGGAAAUAACAUGCUAGUCCUUUACAGCUGUGUGUCAGACAACUCAAGCAAGUAUUUUGUUAAAGUGCUGCACAAUGAACGGCCCAUUCCAAUACCAGUAAGUUUUCUGAUUCCAGCAUCCGUGGUCCUUGCUUUGGGAUCAUACAUCAGUUAUUACCGGUCUUCAAGGUUCUCCCUUUACUUCUCAUUUUUAACUUCUGAAAAAGGACUCACCGGCUGUGAUGUCCUUACUUCCAACUUAAAAGAGGUUUUGCCAACAGUGAAGUUACAAAUUCAUGAAAGUUCUCUGAAGUUGCAACUUACUUUUUUGUCCCCGAACUAAUCCCAGGAAGUACACAAAUCUCACUAGUUUGUGCGGACAGCCCGCAAUAUACUCAUGUUUUAGUUUAGCAUUCUUUUUUUAGGGGUUCUUAGGAGUCACCACAUUUCAUGCAUUUUCUUCACUAACUUCUAAUUGGGAAUGAUGUCGCUUGUCAGGAUGAACACUCGCAAAAUGGCUACCUGUACCGCAAUGGGCACAAAUUUACAUCCACAAAUUUUUCUGCUGUCAAUUAUUAUUCUUCCUUUCUAAUCUUUUGAUGCUUCUAUUUCUGUAUGUUCAUAGGGUUGCAAUGGCUCAGAUUCUUGCCCAUUUGAAGUAUUUAAGGUACGACUUCUUACAUUUGACCAGAUGAUACAAUUUAGUGUGACGUCGACCAUCUCUUACAUGUCAUAAAUGCCUUCCUCCAGGAAAGAAUAGCUGCUCCUCACUUGAAACAUGACUACAGCGCUCUUUGCAAUGUGAAUUUGGAACAAAAAAAGGAUUCUGCCCCCGGUAUGUUCUCGCAAAUGUUUGGUUGGAUUUUCUCACCGAGGAAUGCUGAUACACCCGCCCAGAAGGUUGAGCUAUAACAUCUUUACACGGUUUCUUUCUUUUCGUUCACCGUGUGUUUUAUGAUCCUGAUUCAGCCAGCAACCAACAAGUGCCCUGGUGUGAGAUACAAUUUUGUUUGGAAAAUGUAUCUUGUAUUAUCAAGUUUUUUUUCUUUCUGGUGGCUGGUUUAACCAUAGGGUAGACAAAACGAGAAUUAAUACCUGUAGUUAUUACAUCUGCAAAUCUAUUGCUCAGUUUGUUUUUCUGCGUUUCGUAUGUUUUAUGUAUGACUGCUAAUGUUAAUGCAAAAUAACUGAGGAUAUUUUGGAGCCCAAAGAAUCUGCAGUCCACUAGUUUAUUAUUGGUUCAAGUACUUCUAUCCAAACACGUAACGAUUUAUCUAUAAAUUUAACUUCAAACACCUUAGUGUUCUUUUCAGAAUUUGGUGCUUAUCGACAACUUUGAAUCAACUCUUAACCAAGCACUUAGUUGGCGUACGACACAUCAUAUGUUAAUUAAUAAGCUUACUUGCACAAUUUUGCAGAUCUUGAAGAGUUAUAAUAAAAUGAGAGCAGCAGCUGCUAUGCAAACCAUUUACAAUAGCCUGCAGGUUUUGGAUUCUACCAAACAUUAUACUUAUCUAUGUAGUUUCUGAAGAUGUGGGAUUAUCUAAAUAACAUUAAAUCAGAAAUAAUGGGUAGUAUAAAAGAAUCAAGGGAUCGUAUAAUGUGUCAAGUAGGACAAGAGAACGAGUUACCAAAAUCUCGAGCUAACCUAACCAACCUGAGGUCUACCAAUUUGACCAUUUACAAGCCGGUAACCUCAUCACAACCACCCAUGGUUCCUGCAGAAUGCAAUUGCAUCACUCCCAUCAGACCAUUGUGAAACUUUGGACUAUCAAAUUGGAAUUGCAGGCAGAACCCCUAGUAUUCACAGGAGGCAAAUCUCUCUCAAGCUCCACGUGAUAAAAAGUUCUCUGUUGUUCUGCACAGCUGCCUUGAUUAACGAUGCCAGACUUUUCUUGACUGAUAAUAUCCGUGUUAUGAAUCUAUGUUAUGUAAUGUCGGAUGAAUAAGCUUUCCAUAGGUCUCAUUAUGGUGAGAACACAGGAAAGGCAUAUGUCAUGAGAUUCAUAGUCGAUGGUAAUUUGCCAUUUGGGUAAUGAGCAUUAGAAAUCAUCAGCCCUAUGAUUUUCUCUUCUGAAAUAAAUAUUACCAUCAUAUUUAGACCUUUGGCAAGGGCACUUCGGUAGACAGUGAAGAAAUGAGAUCUUCUCGUGAUUGGGAUCUCCUGCUCUGGAGACGUUGUUGGCUUCUGUGUGGUGACCAGAAGGAACCUGUGGUACUACUUUCAUAUUGCAUCUGCCCCAAGCUACCUGAUGAAAAACUGUGCGCUACACUACUAGACGAUGAGUAUAAGGAAGAUUCAGCAAGCUGGAUACCGUUGCCACCAAAACAAUGCACAGUGUCAAAUGGUCUCUGUUGAGUAUUAGCAAUUGUUGGACUGAGUGGCAUCUUCACUCUUCCUUCACCUGAAAAGACAAAAUUGGCACGAUCUAAGAAGGAUAUAAGAGAAAUAGUGCUGAUAGGAACUGCAGUAGAAGUUACAACAGAGAACUAUAUAGUGUUACAACCAUGGUGUCCUUUUUUCUACUUUUUUUUUUACCAAGCAAAGUUUCAAUAUUAAAUAACGAGACAGCAUCACAAGUGUGUAUUGAUAAACAUAACUCAACAACUGGUGUUAUCUUCUCACUUUAAUAUCAUAAUAUCACCACAAUCAUUACUUCUAGUUGCCAAAAGGUAAUCUUCUGAGUCAAUAUUAAUGGUUAAAUCAGAAUUGCUCCUUUAGAAGAUGACAUUAUAAUUUAUAUGGCAGCAAGAAAAGAUCAUAAGUUGAGGAAACUGGCUAUGAAAGAAGCAUAACAACUUCCAUUCAACUACACUACGUUGAAGUCCUAAUAUGACUAUUAGAUACUACAUUGAUCUGAAAUCUAGAUCCAUUACUAGCCCUCGAGCUGCAUUGACAACCGAUAAAGAAACGAUUGCUGUGUUGUUUGGUGUGACUUCAUAAGAAAAUUUGCUCUUUUUUUAAUUCAGUGAAACCAUCAUAUUUUCUCCAAAUUAGACUUCGAAAUGAAUACUAGUAAUAAAAAAGUACCAAGUUUUAGUAUAAAAAAUUUCCAAUAAACAGAUAAAAAUGGCACAGAGGUGAACAUGCAUAACAGCGUAAAGAUGUUUUUGAUUUGUGUAUAGCAUGCAAGCAAUAUUCCAGUCCAUAAAUAUUAUUAGUGCAUUAUCAGAUACCCCAAAGAGAUCAACUAUCAGAAGAAAAAGCAAUUAAAUUCUUUUUUUUUAAUUUCCCUAACGAAGGCAGCAUUCAACAUAUUCUAAACUAGAAUAGCACAGUACACAUGCUUUUCAGAAGAAAUUACCUGUUAUAACAGGACUCCACCGCUUGAAAUUGAAAGGUGCUGGAAUGUUGAUUAUAGAUGUGGAUGAAGCAUUAUUAUUCCUGAAAAGGGGAAGAUAUGCCCUACGGAAGAACCUGGGCAUCCACUUGCCAACACAUGAUAAUGUACAAAGAAGAACAGCUAAUGAAGCAAACAAAAUAGCAAAAACAACAGCUGGGUGCAUCUUCAUGAGCAAUAGCUUGUAACUAAUAAGUUCCGCCCCAGUUGAAACUGCCUUUCCAGCUUCCGACAGCGCAACACCUAGUGUCCAAGUAAUACUUCCGGAACCAAUGGUUACUUGACUAUCAGUAAUGUGCAAGCCUUCUCUCAGCAAAGAGACAAUAUAUGGUGCCCUGAAGCAAUACUGUUCUAUGAAAGGCUGAGGUGCAACACUAGUCUUUGCAACAUCCCAAGUCUUAUCACAAAAUUCCCGACCCUUUUCUAAUACAUCAUCCAGCGCAGCAUCAGGGGUCAAGUUGAAAAAACGAUAUACCACAAAGAAACCAGACAUAGCAUAGAACUGGCCAAAGGGACGAGGAAGAUUUUCUGCAAGAGCACAGGGCUGCAACUCACAAUCAAUUCCUGAACUUUUGUUAGACCAUUCAGACAAAUUAACAGCAAAUUUUGCAAGUGAACUGCAUUCUUCCCAUUUUGGGUCUCCAACCAGCUGAACGCGAACUCCGGGCUUUCCCUCUUUACUUGCAACUUCUCUCCCACUAGAAGGAUUGCCACCUUCUUGGUAUAGGGAAACACAAUGAGUACAGAUAUAUUGCUCCUUGUAACCAGAAUUCAGACAUGGAUGCUUGAUCUCAAUGUUUCCACUGGUGAGAUCUGCAUCACUGAUCUUGGGAAGCCUUUUGAGAAGUUGAACUACAGACUUGUCAAAAGCAUCAUUCAGGCCAUAUCCUUCUAAGGAAUAAGCAGUAAGAUGAUGAUUAACGGCGCCAAUAUUCAGUUCUAAACUAGUUUCGUCAGGGAGACUUUCCUUGCUCUCAAAAGUAACCUGCAGUGAUGAGCCGCCUAAGUCAAGUGCACCAAAUGUUCCCUUUUUAGGUUUUGCUCCCAAUAUACCAGUAUGAUAAUUCAUAGCUAUCCAUCCAAAAUAAGCUUCCUCCAUGCCCGUGAUAGUUUUGACCCAUUCCCUCUUGCAUAAAAAAGGAGAACUUUUCAGAAUGGACCAAGCAUUGUUAAGAAGCCAUUCCGAGUCUGAAUUUGGCAGCCUGCGGACCCCAGCCGUAGCAUGAAGAUAGAGAUAAGUAGUUUUAUGUGCAUGCCUAGGGAUUUGCUUUGCUGCCCAUUUUAUUAGUGGCUUGAUUGCUCUUUUCAAGCCAGACGUGUUGUGCACCAACUUGUCAAAUCCGGGUUCUGUCUCCAUUCUGUUAUAAGCCCGUCCACUCUGUAAUCUUGAGUUUCUUUGGAAACUCUCUGGAAGUGAUCUCAAUACAAUAGGGAGAUCGUUAUCUUUUACAUAGUUAGGGGAUGCUUGAUAUACAUAAACACGAGUCCCAGUGCUGCCACAAUCAAGCACAACAUAAUACUUUGAGUCUCUACUGAAUAAGUUAAAAUGGAAAAACAUCACAUAUAGGAGAAACGCAACCAAUAGCAAGCACAGGAGAACAAAGAUAACUCGCGUCCAUUUUGUUCGUGCAGAAGUGACUGUCGGUGUUCCCUUCACCUUGGAGAAGCUUGUACCCAAAUUUUCUCUCUUGAAAAGAUUCAGCCGUUUUAAAUUAGUUGAAUCCCUCUCUAUUUCAGGGUUAGGACCACCAUCUUCCAGAUCAAGGCGCCGGUAUGCAGAAAGAUCUUGAAGGGAGGAGGAAAGUCUCAACUUGUUCUUCUGAUCUAAGCUGGAAACAUUAAGUGAACCUGGAAGAGGUGGUAAUCCCGAUGAUGGAUAUGGACUGUUAGAUGUCUUUGGGGUCGAGAAACGAGCCACUGCAGCAGAAACAAUUUCUGUAACUUUGUUAAGCAGCAUCCUUGCAGAGAUUACAAGUUCUACGCAAAGUUACCCUUCACACCAGAGUUUUCUAGUCCAUUCUUCCAUUUGUACAUGAAAAGCUCAUUGACUAUCAUUAUACAGUAGAUAAGUCUUGUAAGCAUAGCAAAUGAUACACUAAUUGCACCUGUAAAGGAGAAGUACCCUGCAGGGAUUAUCCCAAAAGGAACAAGCAAAUAUUAAAAACAAAUCAAAAUCAUUUGAACAUGGUGUAAUAGUAAGGAGAACUAAAGAGGAGCUAAAACCAUAGAUAUCCAGAGGUCACUCUUCGGUCUAGCUAGAACAUGCUACAGUAUGACUUUAGUAAUUACGUUAGUAUGUACCCAAUGAAGUUCAUCAUACGUGAUGCAACUCAACUAAAGAUGAGAUGAGACAAAAAGAUCCAUCAUCAUAAAAGUACAUGCUUAGUUUAUAGUUAAUGCACUAAGUCACUAACACAGAAUGUUCUUAUGGAUAUUCCAGAAGUUCAAAUAUCAGUCAUAUUUAUGGUCUAUGGAUGUCACUGGCUUAACUCUACCUAUAUGACCUUUGCAUAGCCAGCCUCAUGUCCAAUUAAAAGGGGAAGGGUGAUGGUUAAUUGAUAACUAAUGUAUCAACAGCCAUGAUAUCAUGAAUCUUCCAAUUUUUUUGUUGUUUUAUAUAAUAGUGCGGAAUAGAUAUAAGAGGAGGAUUUAUAUACCCACCCCAACUAGUAUGGGACUAAGACUUGGUCAACUGAAAUAUCUCCACCUUCAUUCAUCCUAGAGUUUUACUCUAGAAUAUAAAAUAUUUUACGUAUACGGAGUUAUAAGAUAAUAAGCAUGCCACUACUGAUGGAUCAAAUGAAUUGAACAUACAAUACCACUCAUCACGUCAGUCGCAGGCUUCUUAUAGCAUACACAAGUUAAUAUUUACAUCAUUAUUCAAAUUCGCUCACUGAGACCCCAACCCCCACCCACCCCCUAAUCCAAAUGUAAUUCACAUUCUUUUCACCAAUUUACCGAGGCUAAACUUACAAGAGUUUUCAACACAUCCAACAAUCAACGGUAGCAGUAAAAAGUUACUCAAAAAGAAAGGAAAUCAAUUAGCACAUUCAAUUUUCAGUGUGAAUUCGGAUACUGAUCUCUUAAUCUGUUCGAAAUAAAAUUUAUACAUAUAUAUACUUCCUGAAAAUAGGAUAAUCACAAUUUUUUGUAGUUAAAAUGCCAUUAUUCUUUAGGACACAAUGAAGUGUGAAAAAAAAAUAUCAGCACUAGAAACUAUAUCUUCUGUAACAAUGAACAACUGAAAAUUCAAUCAGCACAUUCAAUUUUCAGUGUAAUCCAGAUACUGAUUCUUUCUUAAUCUGUUCAGAAAAAAAAUUAUACACGUAUGCAUAUGAUAGUAGAAUAAUCACAUUUUGUAGUGAAAAUGACAUUAACUAUUUUAGGCUAAUGAAGUUACAAGAAAAUCAGUAUUAGAUAAACUGUAAAUACAAUCAGCACAUUCAAUUUUCAGUGUAUAUCCGGUACUGAUUCCUUCUUAAUCUGUUCAAAACAAAAUUCAUACAAUUAUACACUGCAUGAGAGUAGGAUAAUCACAGUUUUUUGUAGUUAAAAUGCCAUUAUCAAGUUAUCCAGUAUUCAAUAACUAGAUCUUCCGUAACAAUGGACAACUGAAAAUUCAAUCAGUAUGAAUCCGAAUAUUAGUUUCUUAUACAUUAAUAUACUACAUAAAAGUACAGUACCUUAUGUAAAAAAAAAAAUACUACAUAAAAGUAGGACAAUCACAAUUUUUUUGUAGUUAAUAUGCAAUUAUUAUUAUUCUUUUAGGCGAACGGAGUACUGAAAUCCAGCAUUGGAUAAACUGAAAACUCAAUCAGCACAUUCAUUUUUCAGUGUAAAUCCAGAUACUGAUUCCUGAAUCUCUUCAAAACAAAAUUUAUACAAUUAUACACUACAUGACAGUAGAAUAAACACAGUUUUUUUUAAAGUUAAAAUGCCACUAUUUUUAUAGGCAAACGGAGUUACUAAAAAAUCAGCAUUAGAUAAACUGAAAUUCAAUCAACACAUUCAAUUUUCAGUGUAAAUCCAGAUACUGAUUCCUUAAUCUGUUCGAAUUUAUUUUUUUAUACAAUUAUACACUACAUGAGAGUAGAAUAACCACAGAUUUUUGUAGUUAAAAUGCCAUUAUUUUAUUUUUUUAGGCAAACGGAGUUACUAAAAAAUCAGCAUUAGAUAAACUGAAAAUUCAAUCAGCACAUUCAAUUUUCAGUGUAAAACCGGAUACUAAUUCCUUCUUAAUCUGUUCGAAACAAAAUCAUACAAUUAUACACUACAUGAGAGUAGAUCAAUCACAGUUUUUUUCCGUUGUUAAAAUGACAUAAACUCUUUAGUCGAACGGUGUUACAAAAAAUCAGCAUUCAAUAACUAGAUCUUCAACCAAAAUCACUAAAUCAUAGUAAUAAGCAAUCGCGAAAGUUACAAAUCCUUAAAUCAAAUCAAACCAGUAGAUAAAUUCACAAAAAUGCAUAUGAAAAUCAGUAAAAAUAACUCACGGAUCGGUGAAGAAGAAGAAAAACGUCGGUGCAGUAGAACGGAGUGUGAAUCGUUUUGCUGUGGCCUUCAGUUACGCCGAGAUCGUGAAGAAGAAGUGAAAAUGAAGCAGAUCUAAAUGGAGAUUAGAGAAGAAUUUAGCAACAAACUGAGUCUUCCGCGUUUGAACGACUCCACCAUCCUCUUCUUACUUCUUACCUUUCUCUCUCUAUUUCUCUCUCUACUGAAAGGGUCGUAAGUUUCACUAAGCACUACACCAAAAGUUCAAAUACAAUUUCAGUUUAUUAUAUUUUUCAUUUUUCAUAUGUAAAAUUAAAAAUAUAUAUAUGAAAAUCAAGCAUUUGGCCAUAAAAUUUUAAAAGUUAUUAUAUUGGAUAGUAUGUUUUAGGUAAAUUAAUUAAAUUGGUUGAUUUUUUCAGUUAUUAGAUUAGAAAAAAUAUAUUCAAUUUUUAAUAUUCUUCCAAAAAUGAUAAUCAAAUUCCCAACUUUUAAAAUUUCAAAUAAAAUGAAUAAUAUUAAAUUUUCGUGGUCAAAUAUGAAACACCUUCUUUGUUUCACAAAAAAAUUACUUUUAUCCCGUCUAAUUUUUUUUAUGAAAAUUGAUCUCUUUCUUAUUAUAAUAAGAAAAAAUGUUUCAUUCUUUUUAUUCAUCAUAAUAAAAUUUUGAUUCGAAUGUAUUUUUAAAAACCAUCACGAAAUGUCAAUAUCGAUGGGUAAUUUGAAUUUAUUUUCUACGAGAAAUUUAAACAUAUAGAUUUACAUAUUUCGAAAUAAAGUCUUUUAAUAAUAAAGGACUAAUAUAAUUCAUAUGAAACAAUUCGUAUAAAUUAACAAAAAAAAUGAAAUUCAGUAAUUUUAAAUAGUAUGAAGACAAAAUUGAGCAUUUCCUUUGUGUUAGUUAAGAAAAAAUAAUUAAAAUAGUAUGUGUUUGUUAGUUCACAUCAAUUGAUUUUGUUUUUAGUUAUUCCUGACUUACCUUUAAUAUCACAAAUUCAAGAUGAAUCGAUAAUUAGUCAUUGCUUCAAAUUUGAAGACAUCAAUUAUCUCAUCUUUCUCAAAUUCUCUAGUAAGAGUGAAGUAAUCGGAAAAAAUUCUCUCUCACAAUCAAUCCAAGAGUGUUUCCUAAUUCUCCCUAAUAUUAACUAUAUAAUUUGAAUCUCGAAAAAUAAAUAUCAAGAGACAAUUUGAGUCUACAAAAUGUCGUCGUUUCCGAAUUAGGCAAAAAUCCAUUACUUUUUUUUUUUUUUUUUUACAGAUAAGUCAUGCGUUUUGAAUUUGGCAGUUAGCAGUUUUGUCAGUUGUCUAUUUGGCCACUAGGCACUAAUCCAUUGCUUUAUGACGUUAAUUGUCAGUGUUUUGCCAAAAUUAAGGGAAAUAAUUCCAAAUUAGUGUAGUUAUCAUUUUAUAUUUUUUAAUGUUGCUAUUAAGUACUCCUACUAUUUAAUAUUUGGAAAAAUCUUUUUGACCAGAAAAUUUGGCCAAAAUUAUAUUUUAUCUAUGUUAUUUUACCUUUUUAAAUAUUUUUACCCUUUUAAUUUUAAUACCUUUUAACUAAAAAAAAUGAAAAAAAACAUCAAUUUAUUUUAUUUUUAAAAAAAAAUAAUUAAAUUUUCUGGCCAAAUAAUAUUUAAAACAUUUUUCAGGAUUCGUUUGGUUUGAAUUCAAGUUAUGAUGAGAUAAGUUAUGAUGAAAUUAGUUAUGAUGGGAUAAGUUAUACUAAGAUUAUUUUUUAUUGAGUGUUUGAUUUGUUGUAUUGAAAAUAAUAAAUCUUAAGAACAAUAUAUAUGUUUACAAAAAUAUCCUUCAUGAAUAUGAAAAGUAAUGUAUAAAAAGUGUUUAAAGGGAUAUUUUUGUCAUUUAGUCAUUUUAUGUCGGGAUUACUAUACCACCCAAGGGAAGGGACUCGGUACUAAUUAUUAAUCUCCGAAUAAGUUAUUCCGGACUUGCCAACCAAACAACAAAUUAAGUAACACUAUAAUUUAAUCCCAUGACUAUUUGAAGUUAUCCUUCACACCAAAGUAUUAAAUUUAAUAUAUUCAAAUAGUAAUAUAGCAAUGUUACUCCUAUUAUUUAUUAUUUCUUAAGGUGUGUACUCAGUGGCGGAUCUAGGAUUAAUAUAGUAAUGUUACUCGCGGAUCUAGGAUUCUAAGGUUGUCGGUACUUUGAAAGUGACGGAAUAAAAAAUGUAAAAAAAAAACAUAUUAAAUUCGAACCCAGGGUCAACAACACCAAAAGAGCCUUAAGCACCCACCAAGAGCUAAUGGACCUGUUAGAUCAUUUAUUCAUUAGGUGCUUUAUAUACUCACAAGUACCUCUUAAUUUCUACUUAGAUAUAUAUAUUUUGAGACGAGAUUAAUGGGUGCUAGAGCACCCGAUGAACUCUAUGUGGGUCCGUCCCUGUGUGUACCAAAUCAAUAGUGGACAGUUACAGUUGAACAGAAAGAGUAACACUUUGUUUGAAUUGCGCAUUGUAGGAUCCGUUCAAAAAUAGUAAAAUAAAAUAGUUUCACCACGACAUCACAAUCGAUGUUAGUCUCUUAGCUUUAUUUUACUGGAUCGAUCCUUCCCAGUAAAAUGCGGCAUGUUCGAAUUCUGAUCGCUUUUACGCGAGAAAGGACUUUGGUAAAAUUGGUAAGAACAUUAUAUUGUUUUGCCCUUUUCGUGAUGUGCGUGCUUAGCUUGUGGUAGCAAUAAUCGAUGAGCUCCACUUUUCUCAAAAGUGAAUUUUCCAUUUGUCAAAUUAAAAAGAAGUGGAACACAUUGAAAUACUUUUCAAUCUUUGUUGUUGGUGAUGUUAUAAUUGGACCGACACUCCAAGACACUGUUUAUUUUCUUAAAAAGAUAUAAUUAAAUUUAGAUUUGUACAUAAUGUUUAUUUUCGAGAAUCGAUGCUCUUAACACAAUUUUUUUCGUUCCCAAGAGCUUGAACCCAAGACUUUUACAAAAAGGUGGAGAAAUCUCAACUAUUCCAUUAUAAUUCAUAUUGUUGUUCUCUUUCUCUCUAACACCUAUCCGGUUGUUACUCAGUGUGUUUGUAUUGUUAGUUUAAAUACAAUAUUUGUUUUGAUUGUUACAUUAAUUUUAUAGUAUCGUAUCGUUUCGUUUAAAUCCAUCGUUGGGUAACAACGAAAAGUUCCAUUUUGUGUAACGACCGAUUUAGUGUGAUCAUGUCGUUACCUUAUUAUUUUAUCUUUACUUAUUAUUUAAUAAUCUUAUUGUAUACAACUUUACCUUACCUUCUUAUAGUAAUUCUACCUCCGUACUCUACUUUUCUUUUAUCAGUCAAAUUUUUUGUGUGUGAUAUUAUAUAACGAUAUAGAACGUACGAUCUAUAACAUAAUAUGAUAUAAUAAAAUAUAUUAUGAAAUAAUACGUAAUAACCAUCCAAACAUAAUUUAGUUUUGUCUACUCCAGUCCUUGACCGGGUAAUUGACUUUGUCCGAUUGCUCUCUUCGAAUUUAUAUAGCUAUGAAUUAUGAUCAUUAAAUUUUAAAAAAAUUUAAAUUCAUAAAAUAAUUUAGACUACAUCAACUUCAAGAUAAUAGUUCAAAAUAAUGUGGCCAUUCAAGUCAAAUAAAUGAAAUAAUAUAAUGUUAUGUAUGUAGAUGACAUGUUUUAGCUAAUGAAAAUUGGAGCUUGUCAUCAGAGAAAUAUGAUUAAUUAGUCAAUUUAAAUCGACUAAUCAAAUCACAUAUUCUUCUGUAAAAAUAUAAAUAUGGUCCUUGUAAGUUGUAACUCGUAAAAUGAUUGAAAUUAAGAACAAGAACCAAGAAAGAGCUUGUGGAUAUAUAAAAACCAAAUAUUUCUACAAAUUCAAGCAAUCAAGUUUUAAGUGUGAAAACGAAAGAAAAUCAACCAAAGUGUUCAAGAUCAAAUUACUUAUCGUAAACUCUAUAUUCAUUAUUUGUGGCAAUUAUUCAAGUGUUCCUGAGAAAUAAUUCAAAUUUAAGUUCAUAAUGGAGAUUCAAAAUCAAGCUACUCGUACUUUUGAAUCUAAAUCGAAUUCAAGUUCAACUUAUAAAGUUUAUAUUAUUAUUGAAAAAAUUAAGUAUUAUUAUAAAGAUUGGGACAUUCAUUAUACUUUGAAUCAAAUAUAUUAUUACAUUUGUCGCUCAAUUUUCAUGUCUUGAUGGAGUACUAUUUUUUUCGACUUGAAAUUUGUUGUUUAUAAUGACACCCUUUAUUUUUAAUCAAUCCUCUAAAAAUAUCAUAUUUAUAUAAAAUAUUCAAAAACAAUUAAUUUCAAAAUAAUCAUUCUAUUCAUAAGAUGAUUGACAUCUAUAAGACUACUAGACAUCGGAGCCCGUGCUAGCACGGGCCCAAUAUGUAUCAUUUUUUGUUUCAAUUUAUGUGACAAAGACAAAAUUAAAGAGUUAAUCAAACUUUAAUAUUAAUUUAAAAUAGUUUAAAUUUUUAAAUAUUGUUAACUAUGGUAAAAAAAAAUUGAUGUCUUUUAUAAUAAAAUUUCGAGAUUCAACAAUUUUUUUGUCUUUAAAAUAUUCUAUUGUUAAUUACUGUAAAUUAUUGUACUUUCUAAGUAAUUUUCAAAUAAUAUAUAUUAUUUCAUUUGUCCAAUUUAUGUGUCACCGAUAAAAUUUGAAGAGUUAAUCAGAUCUUUUACAUAUUUUUAUAUCUUUUGAAUAUUUAAGUAAAUAAUUAUUGUGAUUUAUAAUAUUUUAUACAAUUAUUUUUAAAAAAAUAAACAACAAACAAAACGAAUUCAUCAUAGGAAAAUUACCAAAGCAUCCUUCAAUACAUCAAUAAUGGGUCCCACUUUUUGUUUAAAAAAAUAUGCAUAUUGGGAGGAUAUUUUUGUCCUAAGUGGAAAUAGAAUAAGUAUAAAGCAUUAAAGUCUUUUAAAAUUUUAAAUUGUUAAUUCUUAUUGUAUGAUUUGUAAUACUUUUUCGUGAUUUUCAAAUAAUAGAGGUCAUUUCUUCUUUCUCAAUUUUUGUAGUACUAAAAAAUUUUUGAGAUUCAAUCAAUUUUUUUUGUCUUUGAAAUAUUUCUAGCUGUUAAUUACUGUAAUUUAUAGUACUUUCUAAGAAAUUUUCAAAUAAUAUAUAUUAUUUCAUUUGUCCCAAUUUAUGUGUCACCGGUAAAAUUUGAAGAGUCAAUCAGAUCUUUUAUAUAUUUUUAUAACUUUUGAAUAUUUAAGUAAAUAAUUAUUGUGAUUUAUAAUAUUUUAUACAAUUAUUUAAAAAAAAUUAAACAACAAACAAAACGAAUUCAUCAUAGGAAAAUUACCAAAGCAUCCUUCAAUACAUCAAUAAUGGGUCCCACUUUUUGUUUAAAAAAAUAUGCAUAUUGGGAGGAUAUUUUUGUCCAAAGUGGAAAUAUUGUGUAAAAAAUGUGUAUUUAUUGUGAUUUUGAAUGUUUUAUGGGGUAAUAGGACGCACACAAAGUUAAGGUGUCUUUUUGAAAAUCUAGGACAACUUCAAGUAUCACUUAAUGUUUUUUACUCCUUUUGGUUGAAAGCUAACAAGAUAGUUAUAAUGUAACUGAAUAGAUAUAAAAAUCUUUUUAAAUGAAGUACUCCUUUUGGUUGAAAGCUAACAAGAUAGUUACAAUGUAACUAAAUACUAUAAAAAUCUUUGCAUUGUAGCUUAUUAUAUAUAGAUAUCUCUGCAUUCUCUUUGCAUUCUAGCUUAUUAUAUAUAGAAUAACCUACUUUUGACCAUUUUCACUUUUUUUCUUUUUUCGAAUUCUUUGUUAUGCAUUUUCUUGAGCUGGAGGUCUAUUGGAGACAACCUAUGUACCUUCCAAGAUAGGAGUAAGGUCUGUGCGUACGCAUUACCUUUUUCCAGCCCCACAUGUGAAAUUUUACACUAGAUAUAUUAUUAUUGUAGCUUGUUUUAGACCACACAUUUCAAAAAUUUGCUCCUUUUCUAAAUUUCGUAUCCAAUAAAUAUAAUCACAUAAAUUGAAACAGAAAAAAAUACAAUAUUUUUUUACUUUAGAAUACACCAUUAUUCUUGUCCAUGAAAUUUCCUUCCUUCUAAGUUCAAUCAAUCCCCCUAAAAGACUUUUCUCCUUCAAUGCCAUUGGUAAACUUAUUUACAACUUCAUUAUUGUGGAAACUUAUGCAGAGCAUAAAAAUAAUAAAGUUUAAAAAAACAUUCUCUUGCCAGUUGAAUCUUUAUUAACUAACAUGUAUUAGUUAAAUUUAAUAAUUAGCCCGUCUAGCUCAGUUGGUAGAGCGCAAGGCUCUUAACCUUGUGGUCGUGGGUUCGAGCCCCACGGUGGGCGCAAUUUUUUCUUUUUUCCCCUUCACAUAAGGUAUUCAACGAAAAUGAUUGAACUUUCUAGUUUUUGGAAAUUGAUUUUUAUCUUUUACAUUGUUUUUUUUGUCCCGCUACUUGAUGAGAAUAACCUUGAAUUAUUGAACUUUCUAGUUUUUGAAAAUUGAUUUUUAUCCUUCACAUUGUUUUUUUUUUUGUCUCGCUACUUGAUGAGAAUAACCUUGAAUUAUAGUUGUGAGAGGACAUGUUUUUUAAGACUACUUUAUAUUCUUAGUUUUAGAAAUUAUUUUUUAUCCUUUGCAUUGUAUAUUUCUUUCUCUCGAUACUUAACAAGAAUAACCGUGAAUUACAGUGGUGAGAAGGUUAAAUUUUUUUAAGACCACUUUAUAGAAUUGAUGUAUAACAAUGAAGUCAUAACGAGCUAUUUGUAGAUGGAGAAUGAUUGCACAAGCGUGACGUGUGUAAUAGAAGGUUGUUCCUCUCGUGCAUAUGCGACACAUCUUAGACGUGGGACAUGUAUCAUGCUAACUCAUCAUGUGCAAUGACAAGUGUCGUAUGUGCUGACUGUCGUAUUAAUUCAUCAGGCGUGGUGACAAAAUCAUGCAUGCUUACAUGUAUGAUAUAUCAUGUUGAUCAAUUAUACUUGUGUAAUACGUAUUACGUUUCUCAGCCAAUUUUGUUGUACAUUUAUGUAUAGACACUUCCUAAUUAUGAAAAUAGCCACUUAAAUCUCCAUAUUCCAUCAAAGCGUAAAGUUACUUAAUUAUACUAGGAGUUAACUAACUUUCGAGACAACAAAAAAGAAAUUAAGGAAAAAACAAAAUUAAUUUUCUUAUUUGUAAAAGAUAAUUUAAUAACUUCCUAACAUAAAAAAAAAAUUAAAAAUGAAAAAAAUAACUAUUUAUGAAAUUAGUCGUCGGCAAGAUUGGAUUUAGUCAAGAGUGUUGCAGUGGCCAACCAUGCUCCAUACCUAUUGAGCCAGUCCACCUAAAUCAUUAUUUCUCACACAAGUGGGAGGUUGUAAAAAAAAAAGGGUAAAAAAGUCAAAUUUAUUUUUGAAAUAUGCGAAAUGGAACAAAUUUAUUCCGUGGUUAAUAAUUGGAGUCAAAUAUACCUUUAACGUUAUUAAAUGGGGUUAAAUUUGCCUUUAUUUUCAAAAGGCAGAAGAUUGAUAUUUGUAAUGUUGUAUAUUCAGCAAUUAAGAUUUAUCGUUUUAAACGAAAGUAAACUAAGCCUUUCACGUAAUUAUCAUCGAUGUAUAUUAGUUGAACUCAUUUUGAAAUAAUAAUAGUAAUACAAUACAAUAGGUAAAAAAAUUUCAAAUAAGAUGUAAACAUGAGAGUACAUGUUAGUUGUUACACACAAAUGGUAACAUUCAAAGUUCCCUUAUUCCAGCCACCACAGAUUCUCUUGUCAGCUGAUAAAUUCUUCCCAUGGCCCAUGGGCUCCAUCCCUCUUUGUCUUUUUCCCUUUUUUUUUUCAACAACAUAUUUAAUAAAAUUCUACCAGUCGAGUUUGAUGAGUGUACAUAAAUUUUAUCAUUAUCUUAUAGAAUAGAGAGGUUGUUUUCGAAAAAUGAAUCAAGUAUCUCAAAUCUAAAUACAAAAAAGAAUAAAACAAUGUAGAAUAGUUGUUCGAAAUUGAUAAUUCGAAUCGAACAAUAGUUAUUGAUUUAUCGAUAAUACGUUAUUGGUUUAAUGAUUUCAAUAACAUUUUUUAAAAAUUAUUAUUGGGUUAUCAAUUCUUUACAAAUUGAGAUUUUUUCUUAAUGUGUUAACUGAUAACUCGAUAGUAAAUAAAAUAAUUAUAUUUAUAUCAUUUUGUAUAUGAAGUCAUUGACUUAAGGUUUAGUUUCAUACUUUUAUUUCAGGGAGUCUCAAACUUUUGAUUACUCUACAAUGUGAUUGUAAGUCUACAAAUAGAUAACCAAUAAUCAAAUCGAUAAACUUCAAAAUCGAGCUGAAUCGGAAAAAUAUAGCAACUAACACGAUAACACAAAGAAUCAUAAGCCUACAAGUUCACACCUUUUUUUUUUAAACUAUAAUUCAAAAACAUUAGUAAUGGAGUAGUACUAUUUUUUUAAAUCAAUUUUUUGACUGAUAGAUACUUCUUUCACCUCUGUUUUCUCGACAGAUCUCACUACAAAAAUCUCCAUUAUUGUUCUCUGAUCUCUCCCAAGAACCCAGAAAAAUGGCCAUAUCAUCAAUGAAAAACCUCUUCAAAGAACGCAAAAUCCCAUUUUUGUUCUCCUUUUUCCUUUUACUAAUCUUCGUCACUUUCAUCCUCAUAUCAAACUCACAAAAAUCCCCUGUUUUCAUAGCCACCGACAUUUCUCAGCACCAUUCUGAGACACCCAUUUCUUCAAAUCCGAUAAUUUCACAAACCCAAUUGAAUCCAAUCACUAAGGAUUCAAACCCAUCUGAGGAUUUUGGAUUGAACGAUACGAAAAACGAUGAAUUGGGUGUGGAGAAUUUUGAUUGGAAGCUGUGUAAAGGUGCAGUUGCAGUUGAUUAUAUACCUUGUCUUGAUAAUUCGGAGGCUAUAAAAGCGCUGAAAUCGAGGAGGCAUAUGGAGCAUAGAGAGAGGCAUUGUCCUGACCCAAGUCCUAGGUGUUUAAUUCCACUGCCUGAUGGGUAUAAACUGCCAGUUCCAUGGCCUAAGAGUAGGGACAUGGUGAGAUUGAUAGGUUUUUUUGGUGGUAAGAUUUGUUUUCUAAUUUUGUUUUAACUGUGGCAUGGUAUACUGUUUUUAUUUCCUUUUUGAUAGAGUUACUCGGUAUUUGUGCUUGUGGGAGGUAACAGGUAGCGUCGUGGCAUUAGUGAGCUGCGCACAAGCUGGCCUGGACACCACUGUUAUAAGAAAAAGCAAUUGUUAGUUCAGUAAUGCCAAAAGGCAACCUAUUACCUGUUACCUCCGUGCAAGCUGGCUUGGACACCAGUGUUAUAAGAAAAAGCAAUUGUUAGUUCAGUGGGAGCUGGAUCUUAUAGUGGUUAUAGCUGUUAGUUCAGGUAUAGUACGGGUUGUAUAUAGAGAUGUGAGAAGUUUAGCUUUCGCUAAGGACUGACUGUCCUGUUACUAGUGCUUUAAUUUUGGUGGUGAUACCCGAGAGUAGGGGAGAACCUAGGAUUUCAAGAAGAUGGGUGCAAUAUCAUGAUAGGCGGAUCCACAAUUUAAAUUUGAUGGGUUCAACCAUUACGUUCUUACUGUUGAACCUAUUACACUUAUGAAAUUAUAGGUUUAUUUUUUAAAAAAAAGACAUUUUUUAGUGAUUUUUCACAUAUAUAUGUAUAUUCCAUGUUGAAAUGUUGGCUUUAGUUGAACCGUUGUCUAUAUGCUACAUCCUCCGCUGCUACUAGAUUUAAUAUAAACAUUUAAUUUAAUUAUAUAAAGUUUUAUGAUUACAAAAGGAGAACAGAUAUUUCAAUAUGUUUGAUUUGGAUUUGAAAGAAUAAGCCAAGUAUAAAGAUGAGAAAUAGAAGAAAAUACGUACUUAAAACACAAGAUAAACCCGAAUUGAACCUUCAAACUCAAUCGUACAGGUCCACUCAACAACCAUUUCACCAUAUGACACUUUAAGGUUUAAGCUUAGGCUUGCACAUCUAUAUUUAAGUAGUAUGGAAUAUGGAUGCAUGUGAAACCACACCCCUCCCCUGGAUACCUCCCUGCACUAGUGCUCUUGUUAGUGUUAGCACUCUGAUUGUCAAAAGCAUUAUUUUACUUCUAGGCAGCUGUUGCUGUAUUAGUCUUUCCUUACCUGCACAUUUAUAGAGAAAAAGAUUGGACAUUCAUGGCUGCAUAAAUUGUUCUGCAUCCAUUUAGUGGAUGGAUAACAUGGUCCGUGAAUGGAUCAUCAGUUGCAGUUAUUUUUAAUCGUCCAAAAAGCAAUAUUUUUCCCUAUUUUUUCUCUUGUGAAAUGAGACUAUCAGAAAGGCAUGAACAUGGCUGGGACCAUUUUAUCAACUAUUCAGAGUGCUCACAGGUACCAUAGUGUUUUAGAACAACCAUUCUACUAUUCAUUGGGUGACAGCGAUUAUAAAUUUGUGCAAUAUCUGAUGGGCAAAUAUAGUUUGCCAGUAAAAUCUUUGGUAGUGAAGCGCCUUAUUGGCUUCAAAUGUACUCUCAUGGCUUAUUGUAACCUACAAGUUUCCCGUCAUUUCACUUUGACUUCUGGGCAUUAUAGGUUCAAAUACUUAUCGAUUUACAUGUUGCAAUUCUCUGAUGAAUUUGAUGUGGAGUUUAUCCAAAAAGCAUCAUGUUCAAUUUACUCAUAUAUUUUGCUCGACUUGUCAAAAUAUACCUUUGCAGUAACUGAUUCUUUGUUUAUUUUAACUUUGGAUAGAUAUGGUAUAACAGCGUUCCUCAUCCUAAGCUUGUCGAAUAUAAGAAGGACCAGAAUUGGGUGGUCAAAUCUGGUGAUUAUCUUGUUUUUCCUGGUGGUGGAACACAGUUCAAGGAUGGAGUGACUAACUAUAUCGAGUCAAUUGAAAAGGUAGUGUCUCUACUUUACAUUCAUGUUGUCCUUAAUCACAUCAAGCUACAUUAUUUUAUUAUACAAUAUAUGUUUGGACUGCUGUUAAACUUUGUUGGAUUUCAUACUUUUCCAAGUUCGUUGCUUUUGUCAAUUGAAUAAAAUUGUAAUUCUGGCCAUACAUUUGUGAAAUGCUACUGUUUGGAUGCCGUGACCACUUUUGAUGCAUAACGUUUUUUUUUUGUCUCUAUAAAUUGUUCUGUGACCAUUUCAAAGGGAUAGAUUAUCAGUAUAAAUCCAUUUUCUAGUGACGAAGUUAGGACUGGUCAACUUUGAUGAACAUCAUAUUGCAUGUCAUGAGUUUUUCAUAUGAACCUUUACACAUGACUCAAAGAAGCUUCAAACUCCUUGCUCCUUCGACCAGUUGUACUGUAAAAUAAAAUGCAGGUGAAUCCUUGAUAUGAUAAUUUAGAUUAUAAUUGAUACUUCUCUGUGAUUUUCAAGUAACCAUUCUAUAAGAAAAAAGUUACUUUUAUGUAAUCAAAAGCCAAAGGCUUUUAGAUAGAAGCCAAGGGUUAUACAUGUUCAUACACAGUUAUUCCAUACUAGGCCAAUGGGCAUAGAAUUUCUCAAGAUAUCUGAUAGAGAAAUUUGUAGCAUUAAUUAUUACAUAAAGAAAGUGAUACGACCCAUAAUCAAUUUAAAUGCGUAUUCUCCAAGUUAUCUGAUCAUGUUGAAUUUGUUUUAUAAGAUAUUCGUACACGGCUACACGCACUAACACCUUAUUAUUUUCAUUUUCAUUCACGUUUUUUUAUGUUGCCUGCUUAGGGAUUAGUGGCUAAGAAAAGAGUAAUUUGAAAUUGAAAUUCUUUGAGGUGAGGUCUUGGGCUUCUUAAGUGUGCAGCAAGUAUACUGGAAGAAGCAGUAGUACUAUUUCGUUAAUUUCCAUUGUUCUUUAACAUUGUCCUUUCUUUUCUUCUUUCAAUUGCUUUCGUAGGGGAGAGGUUAUUUCGUCAUCUUUCAUUUGUUCUGCAGUCAUUAUGUUGGGAAUUUGGGAUGAUCCCUGGAGCCCUACUGGUACUGAUUGUAUUUUUAAGCUGAGAUGUUUCUUACUUUUUCAUUCAGACUUUUCCAGAAAUUGACUGGGGAAAGCAUAUAAGGGUCAUUUUAGAUGUUGGCUGCGGUGUUGCUAGCUUUGGUGGGUAUUUGCUGGAUAAAAAUGUCAUUACCGUGUCACUUGCACCAAAGGAUGAACAUGAGGCUCAGAUACAGUUUGCACUCGAGCGUGGAAUUCCUGCUACUCUCUCAGUCAUUGGAACUCAAAAGCUGGCAUUUCCAGAUAAUGCAUAUGAUAUGAUUCAUUGUGCAAGAUGCAGGGUUCAUUGGGAUGGAGAUGGUAGUUCACUAUUUUCAAAUUUCCAACAUCAUCAUAUAUACUGUUUUAAACUCGGUAAUUCAAUCUGAAAUUGCAGGAGGGAAACCAUUGAUGGAACUUAACAGGAUACUUAGGCCUGGAGGGUUUUUCGUAUGGUCAGCAACGCCCGUUUAUCGAGAUGACGAAAGAGAUAAGAAAGUCUGGAAAGGUUUUUACUUGUGGAUACUCAGUUCUCCGAAUUGAAAUUCUUAUAAGUUUUUACUUAAUGAUCAGCUUCAAUCUGAAUGCUGAUUAGGCAUAGUACUGGAAUUUUGUACCUUUGUUCUGUUUGCGAUCACUGAAUUUUAUUCUACAAACUCUGUGAAGACCAAGAAAAUACAGAGCUUAAAAGUGAAGCUUCUUGAAGUGAGUUAUUCAUUAUCUCUAAGUGGCACUUUACUUUCUUUCCAUUUGCAGCUAUGGUUGCACUAACUGAAGCAAUAUGCUGGAAGGUGGUGAAGAAGACCUUUUUUGACUCAGCUGGUGUCGGGCUUGUUAUAUAUCAAAAGCCGGUUUCUUCAUCCUGCUAUGAGAACCGCAGAGAAAAUAAUCCACCUCUAUGUGACCAGAACAAUAGAUCAAAUAGUUCAUGGUAUGCUCAAUACACCUUGAUGGUCUUUAUCAUUGUAUCCUUGACUUCAUCACAUUGUCAUCAUUCCGCUCCAAUCAUCUCUUUUAUAUCAUACGAGCAGGUAUGCGUCUCUGGACAGCUGCCUUGUACCACUCCCCACGAGCAGCAGUGGCAAUACAUAUGAGUGGCCUGCACCCUGGCCCCAGAGGCUCAACAAUAAACCUGAACGCUUAUCCCAAAAAACAGAUAAUGAAGAUAUUUUUGAUGAGGACACAAAACACUGGGCAGCGUUGGUCUCAGAUGUUUACCUUGGAGGCCUUUCUAUUAAUUGGUCAAGUGUGAGGAACGUGAUGGACAUGAAUGCUGGUUAUGGAGGGUAAGAGAGAAACUACAGUGGAGACGCGCAUUGUCAUUCAAACUUUAUUUUCUCUGUUGACCUAACUUGGUGACUUUCCAUGGUAAUUACAUUUACAGGUUUGCCUCGGCAAUCAUUGAUCGACCCCUCUGGGUAAUGAAUGUCGUUCCCAUCAGUGAGCCAGAUACUCUCUCCAUUAUCUUUGACAGAGGGCUGAUUGGUAUAUACCACGACUGGUGCGAGUCCUUCAAUACCUAUCCUCGGACAUAUGAUCUUCUACAUUCCAGCUUCCACUUCGGAAAUUUAACUCAAAGGUUCAAUACCUACUUUCUCAGAUUAAUUUGUUCAUUGUGGUUUCUUACCUAGUAUUCAGUACCCUUUUUGGGUUAUUGACUAAUCCAGAUUCACGCCAUGUAUGGCGAAUUAAAGGGUGGAACUGCUGCUUAACAGAACUUUUUUCAUUCUUAGAGCCUAAACUUGAGACUUUUGGUUAAGAAUGGAGGGAUCCUAUCCAUCCCACCAUAACCCUAGUCGAGUAGUCGUAGCUACUGUGGUUUCAUUUGUAUCCUAUAUUUUCUCACGAGACGAACUUUUUUGUCUGUCUGUUUUCGCAGAUGCGACGUGGUGGAAGUAGUUGUGGAGAUGGAUAGAAUAGUGAGACCAGGUGGAUAUGUUUUAGUUCAAGACACAAUGCCAAUGCUUAACAAGCUUAGCUCAAUUCUUCAAUCACUUCAUUGGUCAGUAAAUCUGCAGCAAGAACAGUUUCUUGUUGCUAAAAAAGGCUUUUGGCGUCCACAUGACAAAGUCAGAAAGUGAAAUUCACAGCCUCUUUUUCCUUGUAUAUUUAUUUAUAUAUAUUACACUUAUUUCUCUCUUUUAUGCCUACAAAAGAAGAAAAAAUGAACUUAGUUCUCCAAUUGAAGCAAAUUUUGUUCUUAUGUAUCACUAGAAUUCAUUCUUUUUUACAAGUGUUUGUUUGAAAAUAUGCACAAGUUGAGUUUGCAUCCUCUAUCUGUUUGAGUUGCUUUUAUUUAUUUUUUUCAAAAGAAGAAGUUAGUGUUUGUUUUUUGAGAUAUUCGAAUUUAGUUUGUGCAAAACCUUUCAGAAACUCGAUUUUCGCAGUUUAUAGGGGUAAAAUUUACAAAUAGUCACUUUUCCACACUUGAAAUUGUAAAAUAACCAUUGUCGUGAACACAUUUGCCCUAUUUUGUUCUGGUCUUUAAAUUUUACUCCCGAAGACCUAAUUUUUUUUGUAUCAUAAUAUCUCAAAAGGUAUGUUUUGCUCUAUUAAGAUCAAUCCAUUGGAAAGCAAGCAAUUUGAUUAAUUUAUUUUUUCUUGUAUCGACAAAUUCUUCUCUAUUUUAUUAAACAAAUCAGUCAUACUCCUAUAUUUUUAUAAUAAUAGAACUAUACAAAUAGACUAAAUAUUCAAUUUGUCAUCAUGGACUUUUCAUUUAAAAAAAUUUAGUAAAUUGACCAAUCUAAUCUACCAUUUACUUUAUUUGCCCCAUUGUCGAAGUGUUACGCAUGUAUAAAUAUACUUAAGACUUUUCCUAAGGGUCCAUGCAUGCAUCAAACAUCAUCAUAGAAGUCGAAAGGUAAUUUAAGUUUUAUGUAUUCAUGUCGUAAAAAAAUAUUUACAUAAUCACGUCAGAUAAAUAUACUUAUAUGUAACUUUAUUUAAUAAGUAUAUAGUGGUAACAUAUAUUCAUCUAAUAACAAUUAAAUAACUUAUCAUAACAUGUUUAAUUACACUGAUAACAUUAAUUUAGGCUUCUCGCGAAUUAGUUGAAUUCAAAGGAGAAAAUGGGCGUUUGGCAUAGUUCUUUGGCCGGUUAUAUUUAUAGAAAACUUAAAGUUUUGUGCAUUGACAUUGAUGUACAAAAUAAUUAUUAAUCAAGUAAUUUGUUAUUUUUCUUGAUAAAUAUUAAUUGAUAAUCUGAUAAAAAUAAUAACUAUCUACUAUCACAUGUUAAACUACACCAAUAAUGUAAAUAACAAUCUCUAACCAUCCGGGGCGAAUGGUGUGUUGUGAUAUUGAAUUAAUAUGAAUCCAGUAAUUUUGAUAUGAAGUAUUGAUUUAUACGUAAUAAUGCACUGAAAUUUUAAUAAAUAGGUCUGAACACAUAAUUUUGAAAAUACGAGUUUAAAUCCUAAAUUUGUCUCGGCGCUAUCUAAUUCCUAUUCGUUAUUAAUAAACAGAUAAGUCAACUCCUUCAACUAUAUUUAUAUCAAUGUGAUUAUAAACUUGAGAAAAUGGUCAUCACGUUAAUCAAUCUAAGGAUAUAUGGGCCUUCAACUCUAACAAACCCAAUAGUGGCCUUCACGUUAUUAAUCAACAAAAAAUGUCAAAAUUCCAUAGCAAUAACAACUAUAUAUACAUAGGAAUAAUCAUUUCAAAUGUCAUUAACAUCAUCAAGAAAUUAAUUUCACACAAGAUAUGGCUAUUAAAAUCCAAGUUAUCGUAUUCGUAUCGUCACUCCUUCUAGCAUUCGGGUAUGGUCAUGGCCCGGCCCAGCCCGUUGAGACGACUGUGGUGAUUGAAGGCAUGGUGUACUGUCAAAGUUGUGAUACUUAUGGAUCAUGGUCAUUAUUAGGGGCAAAGCCAAUUGCAUCUGCUAAAAUUAGUGUCAUAUGCAAAAACUACCAGAAAAGAGUGAAUUUUUACAAGGCAUUUGAGACAAAUGAAUAUGGUUAUUUUUAUGCAGAGUUGCAAGGUUAUAAAAUGGGACAUUCUUAUCUUGAUCAUCCACUUCAAUCUUGUCAUGUGAAAUUGGUCAAUUCUCCUCAAGAAAAAUGCAAUGUUUUUAGUAAUAUUAAUUAUGGAAUCAAUGGUGCACCACUAAGAUUUGAUGAUAAAGUUAUUGAUAGAAGUGAUUAUAAAGCUGUAAUUUAUACUGCUGGUCCUUUGGCUUUUCGACCAACAGACUGCCCUCCAAAAUAAGUUGGUGCCGUGGAAUCAAUCGUCAUAUAUCACAUUCUUUUCUUUUGGUUGUAGCCUUAACUCUGCAAAUGCAGGAUGCUUAAUACAACAACUGUUCUAAUUAAGUUUGUUAUGGUUUUGAUAACUUUUCAAUGGUCCGAUAAUUUUUUACAAGAGUCUCUAGUGCUAUAAUUUUGUCCUGUAUACCUAAAACCUCAACUGUAUGAUAUUUGUUCUUAUGACUUUUGUCCGAUGUGCCAACCUUAGCUUUUUCCACAUUCAUUGAGAAGAACAAUAAAUACAAGGUAUAAUAAUAAAUCUCACAUUCAUUAAGAAUUUAGUAAUAUUAAAGAACUACUACUUUAAUGUUAAAGGUAUAUGUCACUCCCCGAGCCUACACCCUGGGUGGGACCAGCACUCGAAGACCAUUGCUGGCCCCAAGCGAACCCUUGACCUGGCUUUCUUAACUCAGCGGAAACCUAACUCAACAGAAUAACUCCAUGCAAUGAAAGGUCAUAAAACAACCUAACUGAUAAAAUCUAGCCAAAGAGGCAACUCGUGUCUCAAAAUAGAAUAUUUAUAUAUAUACAUAGAUGAGAGACUCAAUACUAACUGACUGACUGUCUAUGAAGCCUCUAAAAUACUGAGAUGGAUGUUGGGACAGACCCCGCAACAUCCUAAUAAAGCAAAACUAGGAAAACGAAAUAACAGAGUCCUCCGGAAUGCAAUGAGGCUCACCACUGACUCUGGAGUGCUCAACUGGAUCAACGGCGUGCUGGAUGCUGAUCCUGGGUACCUGCGUCUGCAUCAUAAAAAUAUAGCACGUUCCCUCUCAAAGUCUACUUGUGCAAUGUAUGAAUGAAGUCCCAUACCCCCAUUCAUACUAAGCAGAACCCUUUGAGGAACCAUGCAAUUUCUACUGUGGGAGUUUCUCUANNNNNNNNNNNNNNNNNNNNNNNNNNNNNNNGUUAAGUCCCAUGUUGGCUACAUGGUUCUUAUGGAGAGUUGAGUUAAUAUGAACUCGUGUCCCCAAUUCGGUGCUCAAGACUACUCCCAAAAUAUACUUAGCUCAUAGGCUUUAAAAACAAACUUCUUUCUUUAGUUUGAGAUAAUUACUCAAAACUUGACUUAAAAUCUUUCUUGAAAUCGUUGCUCCCUUGCUUGCUCAAAUGUGAAAACAUUUAUAAACUUCUUUAGGAAUACUUAGUUCCCUAAUAACUUUUGAGAAAUGAACUCAACUUUAUACUCUUGGCUUAACUUGAAACUUGAGCCUUAAAACGAAAUUAAAACGUUUAAUAAAGACUCUUGAAAACUUUAAAAACUUCCUUCUUAACUUCUAGACUUGACUCUUAACUUCACUUGACUUGGAUCCUAACUUUCCUUGAAUUGGGUUAUGGAUUCAAGGUGCAUGAUCACAUGUUUAUGGAUGAGUUUGUGAUGUCUAGAUGUACCUUAAAGUGUUGAAAACAACUAUAAAACAUAAGUACAUUACCAAGGAACAUGUAUGAAGUGGGGAAUGAAUGGGAAGGAUUGGUGUCCUUGGCGCUCUGAGAGGCGCGGGGCGCCAGCCCUCAGAUUUCAGAGGGGCUGCUGGGGCGCUCUGCAUGGCGCGCUGGUUGGCGCGACGCCCCACCCUUUUUUCCCGAAAAACGACUUUCUUCCUUAGUUUCUCCAACUCUAAACCCUCUCAACAACAAAGAUUCUUUCCCCAAACACUCAUAAUCAUUAAAACCCUCAACAUACAAUAGAUUCAACUCGAAAUCACACCCGGAAACCCGUACUAAACUAACAAGAAACUUCAACAACACACCCACAAGACUUCAACAACCACAACCCAUCUUUUCUCGGAAUUAAAACAAGUUUGGCGUGUGGGGGAUCACAUACCUUAAUAGGGAUCACCCCGACGAAAUCCACGACGAUCUCUACGAACCUUACUUCUUCUUCUCCUUCUCCUCUUCUUCUCCUCUUCUCUCUCAAAGCCCUAACCCUCACUUUUUGAAAGGGAAAGCUGAUUUAAAAUCAGUCUAGACCCUUAAUAUAACCAAAAGAAAUGGUUAGGGAAAAGACCAAAAUACCCUUAGAAAUUCGGACAGAACUGCCCCUAAGCCAACAGCCCAACUUCCAGAGGGCAUAAUUCACUCAUACAAACUCGGAAUCGCGCAAACUUGGCGGCGUUGGAAAGAUCAUUCCAAGAGCUUUCCAAACAUAACUGGAAAUACUCCUAACUCAUCCUGAGCUAGGAGUUAUGACCAUUUGAAGUUGACCAAAAACUCACAUUUUUUUCCAUACUUAUCACUAAAUUUCCAGAUUUUGAAUUCUUUCCAAAAAUGACUAUUUCCAAUUUUUAAGCUUCUUCAUAGUUAUUUCAAAUUGCAAGAUGUCACAAUAUAGUUUAAAAUAACUGUCAACUUUAAUAUACUUUAGUAGAUAUAUAAGGUACUCCUAUGAUUUACUAUAAUACCUUUAUUUAUUAGGUCUAUUUGAAGAAUUUAACAGUACUAAAAUAACUACUAUUUCAUUAAUAUUAAGGAUAUAACAGAAAACGAUUGUCAACUUUAAUCUCAGAGUUUGUUUUGGGGCAAAAUUUUUUAACUUAAACAACAGCUAAAAUACAAGGUUAGCUGAAAGUAACACAAAAAUCUGGCUUGCCCUAUAUAUCUUCUUAAGAAAAAGUUUUAUUUCUUCUAGUCCAAGCAAAAAGCAAAGACGCAGUAGUCCUUUGUACUAUCAUUAACCCUAAUAAUUUAGAGCAUACAGUUUCUCCUUCUAGAUAUAUGUAACACUGACACUAACCCAUAGUUAUCAGAAGUAAUUACUCAAUUAUGAAAAUAAUAACUGCUCACUCUUCGAAAAAAUAUCAGCUGCAAAUUUACAUUUUACAGAACUUCUGCAACUUGAUCUGUUGUAAUUAAUACUGAUUUUCAUAGCAUUUCAUCGUUCAGGUGAUAGAGGUAAGUUAAUCAAAAUGACCAUAUAACAUCUUUAUAGACGUAGUCAAAUAUAUCUUUCAUCUUUUUAUACAAUUAGUGAAGAGAAAUAAUACUCACUCAGUUUAGUCAGCCACUAAAUUUCGUCACAGAUCAAAUAGAAAACAAGCACAAUACUUUCAUUUACAGCAACUGGUGAUAACAUACUAAAGAAAGCAUUCAACAUGAUUUUAUCCAAAAGCAUACCUGGAAAAAUUACAACAAUUGAAAACUGGAAAAAAUUAAACACCAACCCCAGAAAAACCAGUUAAAGCAAUAUAAUGCAUCUUUACAUAGUUGUCUACAAAAUAUCCUCAACUUGGUGCCUAACUGCAAAAAAUGCCUUUUCUAAAAGAAUAUUACAAGGAGAUAUCAACACACUAUGACACACAACAGAAACAAUUAUUUCUCAUAGUCUCCACUUGUGCCCUCCUCUUCAGCAACUAACUGCAAGGUACUGGAGAAAGAACAGAGGGGAAGACUAAAUAAAAUAAAAUUUAAAAAGCCCGAUUGUGUCCUUUCUUCAUAAUGCUUUGUUUACACCAGUGGGGUAACACCGUCAGAUUAGUAGGAACCCAUUGGUGGCAUGCCAAAUGGAGGCAUUGGAGGCAUUCCCAUUCCACCCAUAUGAGGUGGUGGCGGCGGAGCAAAACCUCCACCCAUACCAGCACCUCCCAUACCUGGCAUUGGCGGAGCAGGCAAAGCCAGAGGAAGCAGCUGAGCAUACAUAUUCUGC
rnacentral:lncRNA from 1 species